GUCUCUCGAAGCGAUCGAUAAGGCAACAUCACAAACAACGUCAUGCAUAUCAAAGCGCUCAAAGGUAGAACCAUCAAGUAACAAAGAAGAGCUUUUCAGGUUGUUAACCAAUGCGGAUACUUUAUAUCGUGCUUCUUUGAUUGUAUUAACUGCAUGAAAUAAACCCAAACCCAUGCCAUAUCUCAACAAGCGGUCGAUGGCAGCAUCAUGGCCCAUUAUGCUACAGAGUAGGAAAGUAGGUCGAUGUUCCUCAUCUUCUAAAAACUUGUAACUCAACUCUAUAGCUGAAUAUGCACCUGCUGGUAUCCCCUUGAAGUUUCUUUUAGAGGGAUUUCUUAGUUCAUUCAAGGCAUACUUCCAAUCAGACAGAUUCUUCUUAUUUUUCAUAGCUUCCCCAACUGUUACAAUGGCAAUCGGCAAUCCAGCACAUUCAUUGGCCACUUCAAUUGCCGUAGUUUCCAAGUCAGGGCUUAGAACAAUAUCACCUGCCUUCUUCUUAAACAGGUUCCAUGCUUCUUCUUCUUUCAAUAUUUCAAUUGGAAUGUUUUUCAGCGAACCCAUCAAAGAUAAAGCAUCAACCUUUCUAGACGUCAGUAAGAUCUUGCAUCCUUGGUGUUCACCUCCGUAAGGAACUCCCAGAGCCUCCAUAUCCAAUUUCUCCCAAAUAUCAUCCAAAAUAACAAGAACCUUGCUUUUCUUUAGUCUGUUACGCAGUUCGCCUGCUCUCCCGGGCUCACUCUGCAUUUCAAACUUCAGACCCAAUUCAUCUGCAAUCAGUUCUUGAAUUUUCUUGAUGUCAAAACUCUGGGUUACGGCUGCCAUGACCACCUUAUCAAACAAAUCAUCCUUGGCUUGUCUAGCAACUUGUUUAACUAGUGUGGUUUUACCCACACCCCCCAUCCCGUAAACACCAAUUAUGCUCAAAUUAGCAUCUUUAAGCGCCUCCAUGACCGCAUCGAAAGCACCCGUUCUUGACUCAAAGUCCUCGUACUCUCUGACAGGUCUACUAGCUAUCCCUUCUGGAGCAGGUCUGUAUGAAACUCCACCAAAUCGGUCUUUAUCUUUCAAGAGUUCAGCAAUGGUGUUGGCCUCUUUCUCAGCUUUUCUACUGAGUUGGUAACGAGACUUAAAAUUAGGACACAACCCAACGAAACACAUCUGCUUUGCUUUCUCUUCAUCUUCAUCCAAUUGCCCAGCAGCCUCGUCACAGAUCCCUCUGACCUUAGUCAACCACUCAUCCACAUAGCUAAAUAUCUCCUUUCCCUGUCUCGUAGCCGCAUUAACAUCCUCUUGCACACUUUCUCUUGCAAUCUUCAGUUUUUUAAGUUGAUCCCUGAGGUUUUGAAACUUGCUCUUAUGCUUGAACAAGUAACUAACUUGUCGUGCAAUGGGAUCAACUGUGUAUUCCACCGCUUUCCCAGCAAGAGAGCCAAGAAUGGAUCCAACAAUGGAAAUACAAGCCUCCAUAUUUUUUUUUCUGUUUUUUUUUUUUAAUCGGAAGAACGCUCCCUGACAAAACCUAAAACAAUAUGAACAGUAAUAUUCAAAACCCAAAAUAAAAAAAUAAUAUAAAUCAAAUAAUCAGAGAUGAAAACAGUGGAAAUGGGUUUAAACAAACAUACCUCUGUCGUUCUCUUAGAUAUCAAAAGAUUGUUCGGCUACAGCUUCUUCCUAUCCUCACUUUGAGUAGUGAAGCCAAAAGAACAGAGAACCUACAGACAAAUUUUAAGGAAUUCUUUUUUCUUUUUUUGGUGAAUAAAGCUUGAGGAUUCAGCAGUUGAAAGAGUUUAGGAGAUGGCAGUUUGAGAGAACAGAGAAUCAAAACUCAGAAUUGCGUGUUUUCUAUAAAAGAGUAUGAACAGCCAAGAGUCGUAAACAAAUGGGAACAUGUUGACAAACUAAAGGACGACUAAAGCACGGCCAGCUGGUCUCCAUUCUGCGGUCCCUGGGUCCUGAUUGUGCGCCUCUGGGCUGUGGCACAUGAUUUCUGUCGGUAAAGUAUUAUUUUUGAGUAAAUUACACCAAAAUCCUUGUUGUUAAGCACUAAUAUACAGUUGUCAUUUUUUUUUUUACCUAAUGAUGAAAAAGCUAUUAGGAAAACAUAAAAUCUUGAUUUGAUUUUCUUCAUUUUCAUAAAUUAUGCUCGUCUUAUAUACCAAAAAUGAAAUACUAUCAUCUUCAAAAGUUUUAGCCAAGACAUGAUAAAUACAUCAUUACAAAUAACAUCAAAUUUUUAUUAUAAUCGAAGUUAAAAAACUUUUAUUUACAUUCAAAAAUACUCCUUGAAUCCAAUUUUUUUAUUAUACAAAUAAUCAAUAGGUGUUAAGUUCCAUCAAAUUAUUUUUUACUUCUUCGGUUUAUCAUUUUUAAAUCCAACGAAUUUACUAAUUCAUAAAUUUAUAAAUUUAUAAAAAUUUAUGAAUUUAAAUAAUUGUAAGUUUUUUUAAUUUAUAAAAAACAUUUUUAUCAUUUAUGAUUUCAUAAAAAAAUUUAAUAAAUCAAAUUUUAAUUUUAAUCAAAAUUUAACAAAAAAUAAAUCUUAAAUUUAGUUGAAACUUAUAAUUUUAAAAUUUAAAUUUAAAAUUUUGAAUUUACAAGUCCACGAGCUUUUUAAAAAUUUAUCUUUAACCUCUUCAAAUUUAACCAAAAAUACCCUUUUUUUUUAAUAGGAUGACAAGUAAUAUAACUAAACCAAUUUCAGCUUCUUAAUUUAGUGAUAAAAAAAUCUUCAAAAAAAUACGAAAUUGAGGUUUGGCUCUAUGCUUUCUUUCUUCUUUAUUAUUGUAAAGCUCUCUCCCCUUAAAAUCAAACAACAUAAAUGAUAACUCAUUAAAGUUAUAAAAAAUAUCAAAUUAGUAUUUUUAUUAAUAUCAAACUAAGUAUAAAUUAUAUCUGUUAUGUUUACUUGAAAACUUCUUAUAAUUUAUAAUAAGAUUUAAAAUAAACUAUAUAUUUUUAAUUAUUAUGAUAUAUUUACAUAUUAAUAUUUCAUUUAAAAAAAAUUAUAUAAUCUCUUAUAUUAUGUAUUAUCAAUUAUCAGGUGAUUUAAAAUAAAAUAUACAAAACAAGCUAUUGAUUUGUGUAUAUAUAUGUUACAUAUAUGUUGUAAUUAUAUUAUUAAAUUUUAAUCAUGAAAUUUAAAAUAAAUUAUGUGAUUUCCUUUUUCCUUUUUUUUUUUUUGAAUGGUAAGAAAUUGAUGAUAUGAAGCAAAACAAACAAUAAAAGGGAAGAAGGCUCACUGACAAAACCCAAAACAACAAAAACAGCAAUAUUUAAAAACUAAAUAUAUAUAAAUCAAAUAAUCAGAGAUGAAAGCAGUGGAAUGGGUUUAAACAAACAUACCUGUGUCCUUGUCUUAGAUAUCAAAAGAUAGAUCGGCUACAGCUUCUUCCUAUCCUUACUUUGAGUACUAAUAUCAAAAGAGCCGAAAACCUACAGGAAAAUUUUGAGGAAUUAUUUUUUCUUUUUUUUGGUGAAUAAAGCAUGAGGAUUCAGCAGUAGAAAGAGUUGAGAGAACGGAGAAUGAAAACUGAGAAUUGCGUGUUUUCUGCAAAAGAGCAUAAAAGGCGGAGACUAGUCAAGAAAUGGGACAUGAUGACAAACUAAACAACAAUUAAAAGCACAGCUAGGUCGUCUACAUUGUGCUAUCCCUAGGUCAUGAUCGUGCGCAUGUGGCUGUGACCAUGCCUUUCUGUCGGAAAGUAUUAUUAUUGAGUAAACUAUACCAAAGUCUAUGUUGUUAAGCACUAAUUUAACAUCACGCCAUCCGUAUGAUAAAUAUACGGUUCUCAAUUUCCUUGGUGUAAUAAUUAAAAAAAUUUCAGCAGGACAUAAAAAAUCUUGAUUUUAAAUUAAUUUUUUUAUGACGUAUGUUCAUUUUAUAUAUAAAUAUAUUUAUCAUUCUCCAAAGGUUUUACAAUCACAUCAAAUUUCUGUUAGAAUUAAAGUUGGAAGUUUCGUUUACAUUCAAAAUUUCUUGAUGCAUUUAAUGUUUUUAUUAUAAAAAUAUCCAAAUUAACUCUUUUAGCAAAUUACUUUUCACUUCUUCCUUGCAUAAUCCUACAGAUUUAUAAAGUCAUAACUUUAUAAAAAAAUUUAUGAAUAUGAGUGUUUGUAAAUUCUUUAAAUGGGUGAAAAAAAUAUUUUUUUAUUAUAAAAAUAUUCAAUGUGAAAGUAAUGAUUUCACAACAAAUUGCUUAACACCUCAAAGGUCACCAAGAGAUUUGGGCAGAAAAGGCAGUCAAGUAAAUGCAAGUCAACAUAACAUCCAGGAAAAUGGCAAGAAGCGUUUAGUUUCCAACAAACAUCAAAAUCAUCGUAGGUUUGGCAAUACUCUAGGAAGUCCUUCCUUGAGCUCGCAUGUUGGUAACAUGCAUUUACAUGAGAGGAAUCGUAGUACAAUUGAUGUCACUAAAAGCUCUAGUGUCUCUGCACCUGUCUUUGGCUCACAAAAAAUAAAAAUCAGAGAGCUAGGAUUUUAAGAGGGAAAAGACUGAGGACAAGUUUGACGUUGAUCAGAUCUGGGCAUUAUAUGGUAGGGAUGGCAUGCCUAAGGACUGUGCUCAAUUCAAAAAGAUUGAAUCCACCCCUCAUUUCAAAUUGCGUGUGGCACUGCUGGAAAUGUGCUCAAGGCCUAAAGACUUGAAACUACCCUUUGUUGUAGGAUAUUUAAAGUUAAAAGUGGCCAAACCAAGGUUAACGUUGUCUCUCAUCAAUUAAGAGCCGAGCCCAUUGGGAAGAACAAAUACAAAAUUUACCCUAAAAAGGGGAGGUUUGGGCAAUAUACAAGAGUUAGAACUCCGCAGAUUCAGACUUGGGUACGGGUGAAUGUGACAUUGUAGAAGUGUAGGAAGAUAAUGCCAAGAACAAAAAAGUUAUGGCUCUGUCAUGUGUAAAUGGCUCUAAAUCACAUUAUAGGGCUUCAAGAAGUCUAAGUGCCGAAGAUUGAGUUUGCUACUUUUUCUCGUCAGAUUCCAGCUUUACAGCACACAAGAGAAAAGGAUUGCUACUGGAGAGGCUAUUGGGAGCUUGAUCCCUUGACUAUUCCUAGUGUUCUUAUUUGUAUAGAGUGAUAUGCUAUAUUGUGUUGUAUCAUUAAUUCCCUCACCUCAGUCUUACCAGGAGCUUUUGUGAGUAUGCUUCAAGGGAGAAAAUGGAAAGAACUUAGAAAAAACCUGACGAAAUUAUUUUUGCCUCCUGUGUUGGAAAUCAUGCACGGCCUUAACCGUUAACCAUUUUGUUUUUGCCAAAAUGUACUCUUUUGGAAUGUAAUUUUAUGAUUUAAAAAAAAAAUGAAGUUAUUCAUAGCUCUUUAUUUUUAUUAUUCCCUAAACCUUUUUUUUUUUGGUCUGGAAAAGGAGUAUUAUUCCCUAAACAUUUCAAUUUAUUAAGAAUUGCUUUAUUUUGAAACUCAAACAAUUAAACCUUAUGGUUUUAAAUUGGCCGCUUGUCCUAUAAAUUUGAAGUAUAGAUUAGCCCUUCAAAUUGUUAAUGUGGCAAUAAAUUGAGGUGGGGAUAACUUUAUACUUGUUUUUCUAAUCAUAUUCUCUAUUACUAAGUCUUAACUCGAGAUCUAUCGCACCUUAAGCGAGAACCGUACCGCUAGACCAAGUGCCCUUAGUUGAGGUCAAUUUACUUCUUCUUUUUGUCACUAAAAAAAAAAAUUACAUGCUCUUAUUAUUUUUCAAUUUAAAGAAAAUAUCCUUAAAUGGCAGCAAAAUUACAGCAAAACUUGUUCCCUUCAGUUCAGUUUUUGCAGUUCUCAAUUUGUCUUGUCUUUGUCAUUUAAACCAGGUCCCUUUUAUUUGUUUUACUUCAAAAUUCCAUACAAAUUUUCAUUUUUUUCACAUCUCGAUCAAGACUCUCUUCUUAGAUUUUUUACACCCUAUUUUUAACAACGCGCUUUAACUGUUCGAUGUAAUGCUUCCUUAUAUACUCUGCAAAGUACUUGCAAUUAUGUUUUGACAUUUUGUUUUUGUUUUCCAGGAUGUUCUUUGCAAGAUGAUGAAGCAAGUAAUAGAGAAGGUUUUGAGCAAAAGGAUAGUUUUUGCUUGCUCUAUUUCGUGAACAAUGACUUCCGAAAAUUAUUUCUGAAAAAUAUUUACAUUUUGUUAAUUUAUUUAUUUAUUUUGUUAUUUAGAGGAAUUAAUGAAAAAUCUUUUCCAGUAUUUGAUUUUUUUAAAAAUCUUAUAUAACUAUUAAAAUAUUAAAAAUUAUUUAUUAUUAAAGUAUAUUAAAAUUAUUAAUAUUCAAAAAUAAUUAUAUUUUGAUAAUAAUAUUUAAUAUUAGAAUAUUAUAUUAAUAUAAAAAUACUUAAAAUAAAACUAUUAAUUAUUUUUUAUUACUUAUUAUUAUAUUAUAAUUUUAUUUAUUAAUAUAUUAUAUUAAUAGUAUAUUAUUUAUUAAUAUAUUGUUAUAAUAUUUAUUAACUAAUAUAAUAAUAUUAAUUAAUAUAAUGUUCUAAUAUUUAAUAUUAUAUAAUAAAAUUAAUUAAUAUAUUAUUUAUUAAUAUAAUAUUAUUUAUGAAUAAAAUUAUACUAAAAAAUAUUGAUAAAUAAUUUGACUUGGAUAAUUUUUUUCAAAAAAUCUUUCUUUUUAAAAUUUGUAAAAUAAUUUUUUAAAAAUGACUUUAUUUUUUAUUUUUUAAUAAUUAAUAAAUUAUUUUUCAUUAAUUAAUAAAUUAUUUUUUGUUAAUCAAUUAAUUUUUAUCAAAUAAAAAAUUAAAAAUGUAAAAUUAAUUUUUUUAAUUUUUUGCAAAACAACGAAGCAUCAAAUUCUGCAAAUAAGCUUUUUUUUGCCUUGCUUGUACUUGCCCACGAUUUCUCUUCGCGUUGGACAGGUAACUCGUUUUUUCUUAUGAAUUUUAUUCAGUUUUUAUGGAUACCCAAUUCAUUUAUCGAUCGAAAAAUUUGUCAAUUAAACCCAAAGCCCAUUAUCCACUGAUGUUCCAGACUCCCGAUAUUGUGUUCAUUGUUUUAUAUUUCUUGAAACAUGGGAAAUCUUAUUUGCAGCGUGUUUUUGGCAAGUCCUCUAUUUGUAUGAUACUUACAAGAAUUCAAUUGGUGAAUUUUAACUGAAAUUUAAUUAGCUGAGAGUUCUUAAGUUUUUUUUAAAUCGGAAACAUUUCAGUUACAAUUAUUUAAUUGCAAUUAAUCAAUUAUAAUUCAUAUUUGUGUAAAAUUCAUUAAAAAAUUAUAUAAAACUCAUAUUUUUUAAGUGAAAAAUUUAUAAGUAAAAUUCUCUCUUUAAAAACUGAGAUUUACAACUUUCAACACCCAUAAUCAUAUAUAAAUAUAUCUUUAGAAUUAACUUGUAAGCUAAUCACUUGCAUACAGCAAAAUCCAGUUCAGUCAUGUUUUGGUUUUGACCAAAUUUCUUGACUAUUUAUUAGACUCCGAAAUUUUCGUAUCCAUGUCUAUUUAUUCAUGUCUUAAUAGAUGUAAAAUAUAAAUAUUAUCACUAACACAUUAAACACAAAAUAUUUUUUUAUUUUUAUUGAAAUUAUAUAUAAUUUUUACUAAGAUUUUAAACUAUCGCUUUUAUUUUUUUAUCAUAUUAAUUUAAAAUUAUAUUAUAUUUAAAAUUGUAUUAUAUUGCUUUGCUUUGGUAUUGACAAAUAGGAAUUGUCAGUAUAUGGUUCUUAAUUUUGAUUGUUAGAAAUGCAUGACUAAGAAGAUUCCAUAUGGAAUAUGUUACUCUAAUACGUGACUCUACGGUGGGUGUUUGGGGACACGCUAUGUUUUUGUGUCUGCGUUUUGACAAAUCAAGUUCCAUGGCAUGAACAGCCUCUUGCACUCUUUCUCUUGAAUCCUCCAGUUUUUGACGUUGAUCCCUGAGGUUUUGAAACUUGCUCGUUUACUUGAACAAGUAACUAACAUGUUAUGCAGUGGGAUCAACUGUGUACUCCGCCGCUUUGCCAACAACAGAGCCAAGAAUGGAUACAACAGUAGAAAUAACAGUCUCCAUUUUUUUUUUUUGAAUUGGUAGGAAAUUGAUGUUAUGAAGCAGAACAAACAAUAAAACAAGAGCGAAGAAAGCUCACUGACAAAACCCAAAACAAUAGAAACGGCAAUAUUCAAAACCCAAAAAAACAAAAUUUAUUUUAAUCAAAUAAUCAGAGAUGAAAACAGUGGAAAUGGUUUUAAACAAACAUACCUCUGUUCUUGUCUUAGAUAUCAAAGGAUUGGUCGGCUACAGCUUCCUCCUAUCCUCACUUUGAGAACUGAAGCCAAAAGAGCAGAGAACCUACAGGAAAUUUUUUGAGGAAUUUUUUUUUCUUUUUGGUGAAUAAAGCUUGAGGAUUCAGCAGUAGAAAGAGUUUAAGAGACGGUUGUUUGAGCGAACAGAGACUCAAAGCGUGUUUUCUGCAGAAUAGCACGAAAAGGUAAGACCAGUAAAAAAAGAGGAACAUGAUUAAUUAUAAUAUAUUCUUGAGUAAAUUACACUCUUUCUCUUGAAUCCUCCAGUUUUUGACGUUGAUCCCUGAGGUUUUGAAACUUGCUCCUUUACUUGAACAAGUAACUAACAUGUUAUGCAAUUCAAAAAUCCCACUAGCAGGAUGGAGGUUUAGAGGGCUUUUCCAUUCCCACCACUCCUACUGUUUCCAAAAAUACCUUUCCUUUUAUUUUUUUUCCUUUAAAUUUAAUAGAUACAAACUUUUCUUUUUAUUUUUGUUUUUAUUUUUAAACUUUGUUUUAAAUAAAAACUAAUUAUUAUUUUAAUAUAAAAAAUAUAUUAUCUUUUAUCAAAAGUUUAUGAAUAAUGUUAAGGAUCUUUUGCCUUUGCCUCACCGCUACGUUCAGUGAACCUAAAACAACCAGAAGAACGCUCCCUGACAAAAACAACAAUAAUGAAAGCCAAAAAAUUAAAUUAUCUUAAUCAAAUAAUCACAUAUGAAAACAGUGGAAAUGAGUUUAAACCAAUAAAGUUUGAGAAAUUGGGUACUAGACCGAGUUAAAAGGAAUGGUAGUUGCGAGAAAGGGCUGCUAGUUGAGAAAAUAGGGAAUCAAAACCAAUAAUUGUGUGUUGCUUGGGAAAGAGCAUGAAAAGUCAAGACUAUUACGCCAUUCAUUGCGCACUUCACGAAAAAGUAUUUUUAGUAAAUUACACUAAAAUCCUUGACAUUUAGUACUAAUUCAACAUUACUCUAUUAGUAUGAUAAAUUUACAUCAUCCCCAAAGUUUUAACUGUGUUAAAUGACAACAUCAAGGUUCCGUAAGAACUGGAGUUAAGAGGGUAUUGGAGGCGCAUCAUAUGCAAUUUAUGUUAUGCCAACAAUACCCUCUCUUUUACGGAAUAACAAGUAAGAACCAAACCAACCUGUCUUUUUACUUUAUUUCUUCUUUUUGACUUAAUGCUCAAGUAUGCGAUAAAUUUUUUAUACAAAAUAAAUAUAUAUCCUCUAUCUUCUAUUACAUGUAAAUAAAUUUCUAAUCUUUUAUUUUAUUAUAAAUAAAUUUAUAAACUUUGUAAAUCACAUAAUCAAAUUUAAUUUCAUUAAAUUUAAAUCUAUUAAUUUUAGUCCAAUCCUAAAAAGCACAUCCAAUUCACUUGACUUAACCGAGUUUGACCUAACUUGAAAUUAAAAACAAUCCAAACUUCAAUUAAUCAAAAUCCAAAUUAACGUGAACUUAAAAUGAAUUAAAACAAAAAUUUUCAAAGUUAAAAUGAUUCAAAAAAUUAAUUUAAAAUAAUAGAUUGAUCAAUACUAAAUUAGUUUUAAUUAAAAACAUUAAUUUAAUGAAAUAAUAAAUAUAACAUAAAUAAAAUUUUUUAUAGGAAAAUAAAAUUUAUUCUUGUCAUCGAUUGUUAAUCAUUGGUUUUACUUUUUAUAUAAGACACUUGCUAUUAUAUUCUUAUCUUAAUUUUUUUUUCUCAAUGAAAAUGAAAUUUCAACCAUCCUCAUAAAAGUUACGUAAACAAAUGGGAAGGACAAGCCACAUUAUCAUCUUUGGUUCAAUAAUUUAAGUAGGAAUGACAGGAUUAUCUUUCCAUCUGAAUUCUCCUUUGAUUGGUUAAGACUUCAUGUGGAAGAACAGUAGCUCUGGGGAACACUUUUCAAUAUUUGAUUGUAUUAUAUGCGUUUUAUUCUUAGUUAAUUUGGUUUUUUAUCUAUGUGCUAGGGAUGUAAAAACCCUCAUAGUUGAAGUGUUCCAAGCUAAUUUUAUUUUCAUAUUUUAGUAAUUUACACAAAAUUAAAAAAAUGAAAGUAUGCAUGUAUUUUUUGUUAUUUAAUUUAUUCCUUGAUAACAUAUAUGUUUUGUUUUUAAAAAAUAUGUAAUUUAUUUGUAUUUGAUAUAAUAUUUGGAUAUAUAAAUAUUAUUUCAAAUAAAAAUGAAGUAAAAUAAAAAUAAAGUGUAAAUUGAAAAUAUAUCAUUUUUUAUAUUUUUAAAAUAAUUUAUUUUUUAUAACAAGUUAAUUAAAUAUAAAAAUUUUAUAUAUUAUAAAUUUUAAAAUUUUAAAUAUAAUUUAAAAAAUAUUUAUUUAUAUAUAUACGUCAAAUAAAUAAAAUUAUUUCAUACAUGAAUUACAAUCUAGUUGAUGAUAUGAAGCAAAACAAUCAACAAAACUACAUUUGAAAUCGACUGUAACCUCGGUGAGAUUAGCAAUUUUUUUAGACAAUCGCACUGGACAGAGAAUUUAAAGAACCAGAUAUAGAAUGGUUGCACCAAAUAAAUCUUACGGCAAUUCAAACCAAAGGGCAACUAAAGCACAGCUAACGGACAGCCAGGUGGUCUCCUCUGUGCGGUCCCUGCGUCUCGAUUGUGCGCUUGUGGGCUGUGGCACAUGAUUUCCGUUGAUAAAAAAUUAUUUUUGAGUAAAUUACACCAAGGUCUUUGAUGUUAACCUAAUAUAUAUUUAUAUUAUAUUUUAUAUAAAAAUUAUAUUAUAAUUUAAAUUAAUAAAAACAUAAAAAAAUAUAUUUUAAUUUUUAUUAAACUUAUAUAUGUUAUUAUUAAAAUUUUAAAUUAUUUUAAUUUUUUAAAUUAAAUGAUAUAACUAUCAAAUUCUAUAUAAAAAAAAUGCAUGUCAUUUAAUGUUUAAGUCAUUACAUCAUAAAUAUAUUUAGAUUUAAUAAUUUGUAUAUUUGUAUCAUAUAAAAUAUUAAAAUUUUAUAUAUUUAUAUUAUUUUUAUAUCAUAUCAUCAUAUUAUAUUUAAAAUUAUCAAAUCUAAAUACACCCUAAAGAAUCACAUCAAGUUUCUACUAAAAUUAAAAUUAUUCUAUUUACAUUUAUUAAAAAUUUUCGAUGCACCCAAUUUUUUUAUUUAAAAAAUCCAAUAACUAUUAACUUUUAACAAAUUAUUUUUUUGUAAAUCAACAAAUUAUUUUUUACUUAUUCAAUGCACCAUAUUUAAAUCCCACAGAUUUACAAAUUUAUGAAUUUGAAUAUUUAUAAUUUUUUUAAAUUUACGAAGAAACAAUUUUAUCAUUUAUGAUUUUAUAAAAAAAUUAACAAAUUAAAUUUUAGUUUAAUCAAAUUUUAACUAAAAAACAAACCUAAAUUUAAUUGAAACUUAUAAUUUUAAAAUUUGAACUGAAAUUUAUGAAUUUACAAAUACAUAAGCUUUUAAAAUUUAUCUGUAAGCUCAUCAAAUUUAUCCAAUAUCAUUCAAUAUAUUUUUUUAAUUUUUUUUAAAUUGUAACGAAUUUGAUGAUAGAAGUAAAUCAAACAAUAAGGUAGUAUUUGAAAUCCACAAGUGGAAUGCUAGGGACAGUUGCUCUAAUCAUCGUCCUUCAACACUUGAGGCCAUAAGCUUUGAAAGUUAAGGGGGAUGGCUUCGCGUGGAUUCGAGCUUGAAAGGCGAUGCUUGGGGCGAGAGGGCCCCUAACAUUCCUCAACUAAUAAAGCUUGAGGAAUUGCGCAGUAUAGAAUGAGUUAGAAGAAUGGUAGUUGAGAGAAUAGAGAAUCAAAACCAAUAAUUGUGUGUUGUCCGCAAAAGAGCAUGAAAAGUCAAGACUACUGAAUAAUUGACAAGCACAGCCAUCCCUCUUGACUAUUAAAUAGGAGUUUCUAUUUACAUUUAAAAAUUUUCUAUGCACCUAAUUUUUUUUAUUUUAAAAAAUCUAAUAACUAAUAACUUUUAACAAAUUAUUUUUUACUUUUUCCAUGCACCAUUUUAAAAUCCCAUGGGUUUUCAAAUUCAUACAUUCAUAACAUUGUAAACAUUUUUGGAUUUGAAUAUUUAUAAAUUUUUUAAAAUUAUGAAGAAACAUUUUUAUCAUUCAUGAUUAUAUAAAAAAUUUAAUAAAUUAAAUUUUAAUUCAAUCAAAACUUAACAAAAAAUAAACCUUAAAUUUAAUUGAAACUUGUAAUUUUGAAAUUUGGAUUGAAAUUUAUGAAUUUACAAGUCCAUAAGCUUUUAAAAAUUAAACUGUAAGCUUAUUAAAUUUAUCAAAUAUCACUAAAUAUAUUUUUAUUUUUUUAAAUUGUGACUAAAUUGAUGAUAUGAACCAAAACAAACAAUAAAACAGCAUCUGAAAUCCACCCAAACCCAUCUUGUGAGAUUAACAAUCUUUUUUUAUACAAUCACACUGAACAGAGCAUUUGAAGACAAAAAAAUAUAUAUGAUUGCACCAAAUAAAUUUCACCGCAAUUCAAAAAUCCUAAGGGGUUCAUUCCCACCGCUAUUUAUGUUUCUAAAAACACCCUUGCUUUUUUAAAAAAAAAACUAGAAUACACAUAUUUUUCUUUCUCAUUUUUUGUUUUUUGUUUUAUUUUUUAAACUUUGUUUCAAAUAAAAACUAAUUAUUAAUUUAAUAUAAAAAUAUAUUAUCUUUUAUCAAUUUUUUUUAAAUAAUGAAAAAAGAUCUUUUAUCUUUAUCUCACCACUACGCUCAGUGACCUUUAAGCAAUCGAAAGAAUGCUCUUUGACAAAACAAGAAAGAACAAAAGCUGCAAUAAUGAAAAUAAAAAAAAUGAAGUUAUCUUAAUCAUAUAAUCACAGAUGAAAAUAGUGGAAAAGAGUUUAAACCAAUAAAGCUUGAGGAAUUUAGCGGUAGAACGAGUUAAACGAACAGGGAAUCAAAACCAACAAUUGUGUGCUAUCUGCCAAAGAGCAUGAAAAAGCCAAGCCAGCUGCAAUAACUGUUAUAAAUUACACCAAAAUCCUUGACAUUUAGGUCUAAUUCAACAUCACUUCAUUAGUAUGAUAAAUUUACAUCAUCUCCGAAUUUAGCAAAGACAUAUCACAAAGACAUCCCCACAUCAAGGUUCCGUGAGAAUUGGAGUUAAAAUGGCGAGGUGCAUCACGUGCAAUUAACGUUCUGCCAAAAUUACCCCUCUUUUGUGGGAUAACUAGUAAUAACUAAAGCAACAUGCCUUUUUUAUUUUAUGUAUUCUUUUUGGCUUAAUAUCCAAAUCUAAUCAUAUAUAUAUAUAUUAUAUAACAAAAUACAUAAAUAAGUUUAACACAUAAGCGUCUAUAUGGACAUUUUUUUUAAAUGACACAUUAAUAUUUUUUUCAAAAAAAUAGAUAAUUUUUUUAAUUAUAAAUUAGAUAAUUUUAAAUUUAUUCAAAUAUCAAAAUUAUUUAAAUUAUAAUUGGAAAUCAAAUCAAUUUAGAGAUAUAUUUUUUAAAAUUAAAAAUAUGAAAUAUGGAUUUUAUUUUUAAUAAAUAAUUUUAGUUGUUUACCAAUAAUUUUAUUUAAAAAAUUAUUUAAUUAUCAAAAUCUUUCAAACAUGUUUAAAAAUUAUAAAUAUUAAGUUAUCCAAAUCUUUCAACAAUAUUUUUUAUCUUGAUUUAAAAAAUUAUUUUUUAAAAAAUUUAUGUAAGAUAUUAAAAAUUCAAGUAAUUUUAUAUAAGAUUUUGAGAUUUUAAAAAAUUUUCAUCUUAAAUUUGUAAAUAAUAAGAUAAUCAAAACGAUUAUAUCAUUGACUCUAAUUAUCAAAUUUAUAUUUCAAAUAAAUGCAAAAAAUUUAAUAUUAUCUUUAUCACUCUUUAUAUCCAUUUUAAAUUAGAAAAAAUUAAUUUAAAAAUUAUCUAUUUAAUCCUAAUUGACAUUAAUUAAGUAUAAUUUUAAUUAAGAACAUUAAUUUAAUAAAAUAAUAAAUAUAACAUAAAUGAUAAUUCAUUACAGUUAUUAAAAAUAUUAAUAUAAUAUAUAUUUUUAAUGUCAAACUAGUAUAAAUUAUAUAUGUUAUGUUGUUAGAAAACUUCUCAUAAUUUAUAAUAUGAUUUAAAAUAAAUUAUAUAUUUUUAAUUAUCAUGAGUAUACUUACAUAUGAAUAUUUCAUUUAGAACAAAUCAUCUUAUCUCUUAUAAUUAUAUAUAAUAUCAAUUAUAAUGUAAUUUAAAAUAAAACAUAUAAAAUAAGUUAUUCAUUUACGUAUAUAUAUGUUACAUUUAUUUUGUAAUUAUAUUAUUAAAUUUUAAACAUGAAUUUAAAAUAAAUUAUACAAUGAGCUAUAAUUAUAUUAAAUCCAAAAUAAUAAGUUAUUAAAUAAUAAGCUACAAUUAUACUAAAAUAAUUAUUUAUAUUGUAGUUAUAUGAUUUUAUAAAAAAUAACACAUUAAAUCUAUAUCAUAAAUAAACAUUUAAAAAAUUUUAUAGGAUUAUAUUAAAUAUGUAAUUGUGAAUUAUAAUUAACAGUUUAAAAUAUUAUUAAUGUAGAGACUCGCACACAACCUAUCCAAAGAUCUAAUGAUUUUAUCUCACAAGUUUGGGUUUAGAUCUCUACAUAUAUAUCAUUUUUUAUCUACACAUUAUUUUAAUGUGGGAUUGGGGAUGUUACAAUUUUUAUACCUUUAAAGUUUGACGUCUCUGUUAAACUAAAUCCAAUUACAAGACCAAAAUCACAACAGACUACCGUGUAGCAUUUAGUGACUCUCAUGGCCCUAACGUGUAGUACUUAGUGACUCCCAUGACCACCAACUAAUGAUCACUUUGAUAUUAUUUGUGAAGAUCCACAUUCAACUUACGGGGUAUUAUCCGUUUUGACACGAAAAUCUUAUAUUUUUUCUCAUAAAAGACAACUGGCAAGCACGAGGGCUAUCCGUAAGGGCCGAUGGUUGACUUUGCAUGUGAUGCCAAUGGAUAUCCAAUAUUAGCAGUUAGUAGCCUGGCGAUUCAUGCAAAGGUUUUCACUUAGAUUUUGAAUUUUACGUGAAUGAGUGCUUUGAAUUGGAAUCCAUUCAUCCAUUGCCCUGGCUCAGAGGAAUUAGGAGAAGGGGAAUUGAAACAUCAAAAGGAUAUUGGAUAGAUGUUCAGAUUUUUCUUAUUCAUGGAGAUGGAGACCCGUAAAUUCCAAUCGUGUUAAAUAUUAGGAUUUUAAAUUAAUAUUUUCAUUUUGCCAAAUUUUGACAAAGCCAUUGAUGACAGUCAGGAAAGCUCUAAUUUAUGCCUGUGUUCUUGUGAUUAAGAUUGGUUGCUUAUGUUCUAGUUGCCAACCUGCCAUUCGUUCUACCAUUUAGAAGUUUCUCCCUUGUUAAUCCUAUUGUCCUUUUUCACCUGAUAGACAAGUUUUGUCCUUUUACCUAAUAAUUGUUAAAAUUUUGCUAAAUUUCGCAGGACCUAUUGGCUAAUCUCAAAUGUUCAUUGCUUGUCGCAAGAGAUCCUGAGGACAGGACUGAUUUGGUAAUCACCCUGCAUGGUGAUGCUAUUUCUGUAAGUUGUUUGUCAUUUCCAUUCUCCUGUUAUUCAUCUCUUAGGGGAUGCUGCUUUUAAACUCAUUUGUGAGCCCUACAUCUUACUAUUUAAUAUUCUAAUUCUUUGGUGUUCUGAAGUAUUUGAAAUGAUAUAUUGAUAAAUUAUAUAGGUAUCCGAAAAAGAUCAAGCAGCCGUUCAAACUGCUUAUUUGGCUAAACACCCUAAUGCGUUUUGGGUAUUUGUGUCUCUCCUCCCCCUGCAUGUUAUGUCCCUUUAGAUAAAUGUUGUCACUAAUCUGUUUAGAUAGAGAACUCAGCGUAUACUUCCAUUGUGAAGGUUGACUUCGGUGACUUCCAAUUUAUGCGCGUUGAACCAAAGGUUGUGAGAAAUGUAUCAGGUGUUGCUACAGCUUUGCUAGGGUCAGGAGGUUUGUGCUUUGAUUACUUUUCUGUAUCAUAGCCUACAUUUCUUCUACCCCCUAUUAUCUUUCUGAAGAAUAUUAAUGUUGCCCACUUCAUUUAGGACAUGACACUAGUGGUGCUUUUGCUGCUGCCUUUCACCCAUUUCAUUUGUUGUUUUCAGCAGCUCUUAUGGAUUUGUUUGUGGUGCUAUUCCUCUCUCCUAACCAUCUUCUCCUUUGUUUUUAUUUUAUUUUAUCUUAUGUCAUUUUGUUUUUUUUUUAUUUUUAGAGAGGAGUACCAGCAUUCAAAAGUUGAUCCAAUGGCUCAAUUCUCUAAGCCUAUUGUGGUAUUAUGGCUGUUCAUUUUCCUGUACAGCAUUUCAAUUGUUCCUUAGAAUUUCCUUUUGUUGUACUUCUUAUUGAUACAUCUUUCUUUUCAGUCUCACAUGAAAAAGGAUCAUGCUGAAGGCACAAAAGUCAUUGUACAAUACUCAACAUCAAUCCCGGUAAUUAGAAAUAUUACCUUUCAACACUAUAUUUUAUAGGAAAUGGAAAAUUUUAAACAUAUCGUAUUCAAGAGACAAGUCAGCUAGCCCUUACCAGUUACGGUGGAAAAUUUUAGAACAUGCCUUAAUAGCUAAUUCUAGACCCAGAACUGAAAUCAGAGUAAGAGAAAUUAAUAGUUUAUGCUGAGUAUUUUCAUUAGGUACUAUUCAUAGUUUAACAACGUUGGCUAAAAUUGUUGAAUUUAUCAGUCUCUCAGUUCAAGCUGCAAUGUGUACUGAAAUCUGCCCGAAUUUUUCUUCAAUCCAAAGUGCAUUAGUUUUCUAAUAAUCUUGAAAAUCCUGAAAACUGAAUCUUUAUUCUAGAAGAUCCAAUGUUAUAUAUCAGCUUUAAUCUAAGUUUACAUUUCCAGACAAAAUUGCCCCAUCUUUCUUUGUAGACCAAUGACUGUUUCCCCCGCAUCACAAAACUGCUAAUCUUUUUAAUGAUAAAAUUAGAAAGCUUCUCGCCAGCUGUAAUUUUAACAUAUCUUGUUAUGAAUUUUUUUUUUCCUUUUUCCUAGCUAAUUUGUGUCUUUCUCCUGGUGAACUAUCCUUGCAUGCUGGAUUUGGAUAGUCUUGGAUUCAAUGUCAAGGUUCUGAAAACUUUUAACCUUUUAUAUUGAAUCGUAUGUUAUUGGCUAAUGGAAAGUAAUUUUGCCAAUACUUGGAAAUUAACUAAUAUCGAAAAUUCCCUUCACCGUUGCCUUGUGAAUCAAUUUUUACUGUAUGCAAAUUCUUGCUAUAUGAAAAUUUUCACUCUCUUUCCCUGCAGGCUGGUUAUCAAGGAAAUGCUUUCAAGCUUCGAAUUCCUACUCCUAGACGUGCAGAAGAUAGAAAGUGAGAUAUCUUUUAUCAAAGAUUUUCUAGUCUCUGAAGAAACUUUCCCUGAUCUUUUACUUGUCAUCUGUUGUUAAUUAUUGGUUUUACUUUUUAUAUAAGGCAUCUUCUAUGAGAUUCUCAUCUUAAUUUCUUUUUCUCAAUGAAAAUGAAAUUUAUACCUUCUUGGCAGAAGCCACUGAAACAAACGGGGAGGACAAGGCACAUUUCAAUAAUUUAAGUAGGAAUGACAGGAUCGUCUUUCUAUCUGGGUUCUCCUCUGACUGGUUAAGGCUUCAUGUAGAAGAACAAUAGCUCAAGGGAACACUUUGCAAUGUUUGACUGUGUUAUAUGCAUUUUAUUCUUGUUCAAUCUGGGUUUUUAUGUAUGUUUUAGGGAUGUGAAAACCCUCAUAGUUGAUAUGCUCCAAGCUGCCCUGUCUCAAGUCAACUGACCAAACUGCUAAAAGAGUUCCAAGAGGUGAGAAAGUUUCCAAUUUCUUAAAUCUCUGUUUCAACUACAGUUUUGCAUUCGCUAAGCAAUAAAUGAAGACAUUUGUUUGUAUAAAAUGAACUGCAUGUCUUUAUGAUUGCCGUUGCUCAGCUUCAGCGUUAUAAAGGAAACUUAGUCUGAAUAGAAAACUAUUAAAAUGGUCUUAUGAAUUAUGUGAACAACAAUUGUAUACUGGCUGUCGUAUCCGAAAUUGGAGAGCCCUCUCUUGCUUAUUGACUUGAUUUGCAGGAUCUCGUGUUACAUUUACAGAUAACUUCUCCAGAAUAUGUACCAACAUAGAAUUCCAUAAGACACGGCAAUAAAGAUACAAUUACCUCAGAUACAAUUCCAGAUAAACUUUCAUUUCAAGUUGUUUCCAUCAGAGUUGAAAUUAUGAGAUGUGAAACUGGUUGGUGGUUCCUGUAUAUACUUUGCCAUGAUAUAAUAGUUUCUUCUUUCCUGUACUGCUCUUAUUAUGUAGAGUUGGAUAAUAAUUGAAUUAUUGGAUCCGAAACAUAACUUGAAAACAUGAGAUACUUCAAUUUUUUCCUUUUAAAUUCCUUCUAUGUUCAAAGUAGUGGAAAAGAGGGAGAACUUUCUCCUUUCAGUUGAUACUUUUUUCAUCCUGUUUCAAGUCCUUCGUAUAACUUUACAUAUUCAUAUUGCUUUGCUUUUGUAUCGACAAUUAGGAAUUGUCAUUAUAUGGUUCUUAAUUUUGAUUGUUAGAAAUGCAUGACUAAGAAGUUAUAGCUAAUCAAAAUUGGUUUGAUUCCAUAUGGACUCUAAUAAGUGAAUCUACUGUGGGUGUUUGGGGACAUGCUAUGUUUUUGAGUCUGAGGUGGAGCCGAUUUGAUAAAUCAAGUUCCAUGGCAAGAACAACCACAAAGUUUCUUGCACGAAUGAUUCUAGUUUCCAUACGCAUAUUUACCUCAAUUAUGAUGUUAAAACAUUAAACUUACAUAUUUGAUUAAGAGGAAUUUACUGUACUUUAAAAAUUCAAAAUUUGUUUAUUCCACCUGUUCUUUUCGUGCUUGAAGUUUACUCAAUGUGCUUGACUGGCUUUAGACUUUUCCAAACUGCUCUCUCUCUCUCUCUCUCUCUCACACACACACACACGCAGACAUUCCUGUCCUGGUUUAGAAUCUUAUCUGCUUGCCUGCUAUUUGACCGGGAACACAAUUAGCUUUUAACACUCUGUGGUUCAGUAGAGUAUGGAAGAAAAUGACAAAAAUGAAGCUGGCAAUGCUGUAGAAGACUCGGCAAAAUCACAAUCAUCUGAAAAGAAAAGCCCAAAUUUAUUGAAGGCCAAAUCUGAUAUUGCAAAGUCAAUAGCCAAGAAUUUCUUGGAGGCAAGAAAAGCCACUGGUACUUCUGAGGUUCGGAGGAGAAAGCAAAAGAGUAAAAACAAAAGUGUAUCAGAAGGCAAUACAGCUACUGAAAAUGAUGCUAAGAAGCUAAAUUCAAGGGAAAAAAAACCAACAAAAAGAUGCUACCACCAGUACGGAGCAUGUAGAGAAGAGCCAGAAGAUCCAAAAGAACGAAGAAAAUACACGUGCGUCAGGUAGCAAGGAAAAUAGUAAGUCAAAUGACAGUCCCAAGAAACGAAGAAGCCGAAAGCAGCCUGUUCUUUCAAAUAAAAACCAGAAGAAUGAAGAAAAGUGGGAAGAUAAGAAAAAGAGAAAAACAAAUGAACAGAAGGAAAAGCACAGUAAUUCAGAGAAGAAUAACAAGAAUAAGAAACAAAAGAAAUAAAAGAUUGAUGGUCUAAUAUUUAUGUGCAAUGCAAAGACCAAGCCUGACUGUUUUCGAUACCGUGUAAAGGGGGUAUCAACAGUAAAGAAGAUCUCAAUGCAUGUGAAGAGUUGGCAUCUACUUGGAGGGAAGAAGAUUCCAUCGUGGAUUUAUACCUUGAUCCGAAGGAAUAAUGGCUUAUCGUCUCCAGGGAGAGAGAAGAAACUUGCUUUUCAGCAUAAUAUUGCUUCCUAGAUUAGGUCCUACCAGAGAGAUUUAGAGAGCACCUCUAGGCCAACGAGACACAGUAUACAGGGAAUCUGUGCUUAUGCAGGGGGGUAUAAUUCACUCUGACCCUCUUUACUUAACUGAGAGAGAGUAUCGGACUUACAAUUUGCGUGCUGAACGAGAAAUGCAAUCAACAGUCCGGAAACUGCAAAUACAUCUGUAGCUGCUGCUUCUACUUUGGAUUCCUAUGCUAGGGAUCAAUAUUAUAGUAGUUAUUAUUGUGUUUCAUUGGUGGACUCGUACUUGCCACUUCCAAGAGGAGAGGCACACCUGAUUGAGACUGACCAUAUGAAGAAAGAAAGCAACCAAGUUGAUAGAUUGCAUCCCAGAUAUGCUUCUGGUGCUAUAGGCGAUUACAACCAGAUGCAUUAACAUCAGGCUGCUUCUACAUCAGUAUCAGCCCGGAAUUCUUUUGCUGGUGCAUCUUUGUCUUAUCGUUGAUUAUCUGUCCCUUCAUAUCCCUAACAUGAGACAUGUUAUUUUUUUUCAAUUAAUGACUUUUUGUUCGUUAUUUGCAUGCAAGUUGUUGAACUUCAAUAGUCAUUUUGUUAAAUAGUUUAUCAUAAAUAAGUAGCAUAGAGCAUUUUGCAAAUCAAUGUUUUCGAGGCUAGCUGGAUAUGGCUGCAGGAGAGCUUGGUUGAAUAUGAGGUAUCGCCCUUUGCCAGCGCAUCUGUUCAGCUCUUUUCUAAUACAUUAUUUUAGCCACUUUGUGUUUUGAAAUGCUGGCAAGAUUGACAAUAAGUUUUGCAACUGCUUUAGUAGCGUAUAUGUUUGUUGGUAUUGGGUUUGAGUUACUAUUUUUCUCUUAAAUGGUUCACCAAUAGUAGCAUAUAUUUAGCUCUUUUCUGAUACAUUAUUUUAGCCACAUUUAUCUGGUCUUUUGUUGGGCUACUAGUUUUCAAGGCUUGUCAGAUGGAUGAGGUAGUAUCAUCUGUACUGAGAUUCAAGCCUAAGAUCUAUCCACUGCGUAAACUGAAACGAAACAAAUGAACAGUUUCUUUCCUUCUAAAUCCUUUAAUAAACACAAACCGAAUAAACAAGUAAAUUUUCUUCUUCAUUUGAAUAUGUUAAACUCCCUACUAGUAAAUUCCAGGUUCAUUGCGACAUCAAAUUGGUACUAAAACUGGUUUUUAUCGAUGAUAGAAAUUUGAGCAGCAAUUUUACGCUGUAAAUAGAAUAAAUUAAUUUCAUUAACUUAAAUUCCCAUAGUUGCUUAUCAGUGUUUAAAACGAAAAUAAGAUACCUCUUAUAAGAUUUGAAGCCCAAGACUCUUUCAAGAAAAUAACUGAAAAAUCCCACUUUAAAACUGAUGUCUGUUGUAAAUAAAAACCAUUGUACUUGAACAAUGAUCUUCUGUUCCUUAUAGUUGGAAACUCUUGGUCUAUAGUGUUUUCAAAGGACCAAGAUCCUUGCUGCAGGUUGUUCUGUUUAUGUCAAUGCUAACAGAAAAUGUCCAAAAUGAAAAUAAGAAAAAACUGCUCCAUUUCUACGAGUUCUCAACCAUUGGGCCUUCCUGCAAGUGUUUUACUUGUAUAUGUUUUCAAUUAACGAAAUGAAACUAGUAAGCCUCUGCUAAGUUUGAAAAGAACCAGCUUCUUCACUUGACAUGAGACAAAUACUUUGUAAACAUUCAAUGCCGAUUGGAUUCUUUCCCAUUCUUCCAUUCAAUCAGUAGGAUUAGGUGGCCUUAGCCCUCACCAUAUCAGAAAUCUGGGAGGAGCAUUCGUUCUGCCCAAUUUCCCCGUACCAUUCACCUCCUUGACAAUCGAAUGCUCUAUUCACAGUUCACAUUGAUAAAAAAUGUCAAUCACAGAUCCGGGGGGGGGGGGGGGGGAAUCAGGAGAUAAUUAACAUAUAAGCACUUAAAUUGCCCAAGGCCAAAGAAAACUACUAACCUUGUGCACCAUGAUGCAUCAAAUCAUGCCUCCUAACUCUGCCACUAAUAAAACAUAAUAGGGCUACAAAAAAUUCCACAAGGACGUAUGGAACUCAGCACGACGGUCAAGUAGAAUGGAACAUGUUACAGUCAGGAUGGAUAAACUGCCCAUUCACAAGCUGUUGUAGGCACGGCACACCUUGGGGCAUCCAAUGGACUCAAGAAUUUGCCAUUGGUUCAAUGCAGCAGAAAAUCACCUGUAAACAAACACAAACCAUCAGCCAGCCCAAACAAAAACCAUCAAUUUAAACCGGCAAAAUAAAUCUGAAUUGAGUUUUGUUUCAAGUUUCAACAUGAAAUAGUUUGUACCUUCCUUGAAAUUCACCAUUGAAAAAGUCUCCUUAUCGUCUAGUUCAAAAUAAGUAUGUGAUCCCCAACUCCAGAACCCUUGUCAUUUUGCCACUUCAGAAUAUUUCUCAUCCUCUGACUUCAGAAUUGUUGUCAUCCUUAACUUCACAAUGCCCAGAUCAUUAAAAAUAGAAAAGUCCUACAUAAGUUAUCACUUCUGAGGUUGAUCAAAUAAUACAUGGCAAGCUAAAAUUAGUUAUCAUAGAAACAAAAAAGCCUAAAAGACACAAGCUGUGACCAUUUACAGGUUGAUCAAAUGCAACACGAUUAAACUUGUCUUUAGAGAUAGAAUAGUAUGGCAGCACUACCGUUUAGUAAUAUGACAAUUAACAAUCAAAACAAAUUAACAUAUGCAACGUUCAGGAAGAACAAAAAAACCUUCUGCCACCCAUUACUCAAGGAAAGAAAAACCUUUUGCAUUAGAUGAGUACAACAAAAGCUAUAUGGUCUCAAGAUGCAUAGAAAGAAUUUUUGGCUUACUCUGUUUCUUUGCGGUUGAAGGAUUGAGUUGAUCUUCAGAAUUCUCGACUAUGUUGACUGGAUUAUGAAAUCAUAAUGAACAAUAUUAGUGAAGGUGAAAAGGAAAAUUACUGAAAAAUUACUUUUGUUAUUCUUUGAUGAAUUAGUAUCAUAAAAUGAAAACAAAGCCAUCUGAUUUCAAAUGAAGAAACAAGAGUCCUGAUGUCUCAAAAACACAUAUUCAACAAUUUCCUACUCUGCCAUACAUGGUACUUGAAGAUCAUCACUGUAAUCCCUCUCCUUAUUUAUUUUAUUAUAAAUUUAAACAUUCUCCAACCACAAAAAACAGUAUUACUGAAAAACAAAACUUGUUUAAAAAAAGAAAAAUCAAAUUAUGCAAUACAAUUGUCAUAGAAAAAAAAAAGAAAAUGUGACAUUAUCCUAUGAUCUAUUUCAGUUGCUCUAGAAAAUCCUAAAAGAGUAAAUUAAAUAGAAACUCUGAUGUCAAUAAAAUGGGAAAAUUGUUCAAAAAUUACAUAAUAUUAUAUUGAUAAGAGAAAUAUGAACUAGGUCGGAGGCAUCAAACACCUACAUAAUUGAUGAACAAAUGGUAAAGCAUUUGAGUUGAAAGAAACAAAAGCUAUAUUAUUUAUGAAUUGUAUCUGAAGAUUCAUUGAAUGAAAUUUGGCAUACUCAUGUGUUCGAAGUUGAAGGAUUGCCUCGAUCUUCUAUAGAAUUCUGCAUUUCCUCCACGGGAUUCUACAUAUGCAUAGUAAUCACCAACGAUAAUUAAUAUUAAUUGGUUAUGAUGGCGAAAAGAUGAAUUAAUUUUGAUAUACAAUGGAGUCACCAUCAACGCCCCCAACCAAAAAAUUUCUUUGUUAAUAAUGAACAAUUCUCUAAAUUCUAAAUGAUAAUGGCAUCCUCCUUCACAUAAAAUUUUCUCUUCACUGUGCGCUAAUACAUAUGUUAGUCAUGACUGUUAACUUUACCUGCCAAAAAUCAUUGUUGGUUUUGAGUGGAGAAAGGAAUGUGUUUUAGAGGGGCCUUCUUAGUUCUUGCAAAGCAGUCUUCCAUUCAAACAAACUCUUCUUAUUUUUCAUAGCUUCCCCCACUGUUACAAUGGCAAUCGGCAAUCCAGCACAUUAUUUGGCCACUUCAAUUGCCGUAAUAUGCAAGUCAGUGGCUUAGAACAAUAUCACCAGCCUUCUUCUUAUACAGGUUCCAUGCUUCUUCUUCUUCUUCCAAUAUUUCAAUUCGAAUGUUUUUCAGCGAAAGCAUCAAAGAUAAAAUAUUGAGCUCUCUAGACAUCAGUAAGAUCUUGCAUCCUUGGUGUUCACCUCCGUAAGGAAUUCCUAGAGCCUCCAAUCCAAUUUCUCCCAAAUAUCAUCCAAAAUGACAAGAACCUUCUUGAAAUUCUUUAGUCUGUUCCGUAGUUCGCCUGCUCUUCCGGGGUCACUCUGCUUUGUAAACUCCACACUCAAUUGAUCUACAAUCAGAUCUUGAAUUUUCUUGAUGUCAAAACUCCGGGUUACGACUGCCAUGACCACCUCAUCAAACAAAUUUUCAUCCUUGGCUUGUCUAGCAACUUGUUUGACUAGGGUAGUUUUACCCACACCGCACGUCCCGUAAACACCAAUUAUGCUCAAAUUAGCAUCUUUAAGCGCCUCCAUGACCGCAUCCAAAGCACCCUUUCUUGACUCAAAGGCCUCGUACUCUUUGGCAGGUCUAAUAGCUAUCCCUUCUGGAGCAGGUCGGUGGGAUACUCCAUCAAAUCGGUCGUUAUCUUUCAAGAGUUCAGUAAUGGUGUUGAACUCUUUCUCAGCUUUUCUACAGAGUUGAUAACAAUACUUAAAAUUAGGACACAACCCAACGAAACACCCCUGCUUUACUCUCUUCAUCCUCAUCCAAUUGCGCAGCAGCCUCGUUACAGAUAUUCCCAUUGACCUUAGUCAGCAACUCAUCCACGUCACACAUCUUCCCAUUGACCUUAGACAACCACUCAUCCACGUAGCUAAAUAUCUCCUCUCCCUGUCUCUUAGCCGCAUUACCAUCCUCUUGCACUCUUUCUCUCGCAUCCUUCAGUUUUUGAAGUUGAUCCCUGAGGUUUUGUAACUUGCCCUUAUGCUUGUACAAGUAACUAAGUUGCCCUUAUGCCCUUAUGAAAUUUACACAACUUUGUUCUUCUCUUAGAUAUCAAAAGAUUGGUCGGCUAGAGCUUCUUCCUCUCCUCACUUUGAGUACGAUGCCAAAAGAGAAGAGAACCUACGGGAAAAUAUUGAACAAUUCUAUUUCCUUUUCUUGGUGAAUAAAGCUUGAGGAUUCAGCAGUCGGAAGAGUUUAAGGGAUGGUAAUUGAGAGAACAGAAAUUCAAAGAAUUGCGUGGUUUCUGCGUAAGAGUAUGAAAAACCGAGACUAUUAAAGCAAAGGGUUAUGAUGACAAACUGAAGGACCAACUAAGGCUUCAUUUCAGAAAGAUGUUCGGUAAACUUGCCAAUAGCACGAUGGAGCAUUUUAAUCGCACCAUUUCCCGUAAUCAGAACUGGAGCAUAACAUGCGCCGUGGCUCACCGUGAUGCUCAUGAACAAUAUUAUCUUUAUUGUUUACUUUUUACUUUUUAUUUUGUCUUUACAUUUAUACUUUCAUAAUUAUAAUAUCCUUAUUACAUCUAUAAUUUAAAUUUAUUUUUUUUUACUUUGAUUUUUUAUAUAUGAAAACAAUUUUAAUAAAUUAUUAAUUCUACAAAGAUUAAAUAUAUAAUAUAACUUCAAUUAUACUCAAAUUCUAAUUUGAUAUAUUUAAUAUUUUUUAUUACAUUCAUCGUUAUUUUUAUAUUUAAUUUUAAAUUUAUUAUAAUAUUUAAUUUCAUCAUUAUAAUAAUUAAUUUUAUUAUUAUUUUUAAUUUCAUUAAAAUUAAUUUUAUGAUUCAUCCGAAUAAACGGAAUCAUGAGAAUAAAAGAAUUGCGUCUUUUCUGCAGACGAGCAUCAAAAGACGAUAUUAAAGGAAAGGAUUAUGAUUCAUAAUGGCAAACUGAAAGACCAACUCAAUGGGUCAUGAAAAUCAAAGAAUUGCGCGUUUUCAGCAAAAAGAGCAUGAAAAGCCCAAACGUAAAGAAAUGGGAACAUGACGACAAACUAAAGGACAACUAAAGCACAAGCCAUCUGGCUUCAUUGUGCUGUCCUUAGGUCUCGAUUGUGUGCUUGUGGGCUGUGGCAAAUGGUUUCUGUCGGUCAAGUAUUAUUUUUGAGUAAAUUACAUUAAAUUCCUUGGUGUUGGCACUACUUUAAUAUCACUCCAUCAGUACGAUAAGAAACUUUCAACAGUACUUAAAAAUCUUGAUUUUAAAUUAAAAUAUUUUUAUGAGCUAUGUUCAUUUUGUAAAUAAAAAAAUAUAUAUAUCAUCAUCCCAAGUUUUAACAAUCACAUGAUAAAUACAUUUUCAAAAUUCACAUCAAAUUUUUAUUAAAAUUGAAGUUAGGUAUUUCAUUCACAUUCAUAUUGGAAUUAAGAACUUCUAUUUACAUUCAAAAUUUCUUGAUGCAAUUAAUUUUUUAUUACAAAAAUAUAUAAUAGUUGUUAACUUUUAGCAAAUUAUUUUUUACUUUUUCCUUGCACCAUUAAUCUUAUAGAUUUAUAAAUUCAUAAAUUCAUAAAAUUGUAAAAAUUAUGAAUUUGAAUGUUUGUAAAUUUUUUAAAUUUAUGAAAAAAUAUUUUUAUUAUUCACAAUUUCACAUAAAUUUUUUUUAAAAAAAAUCAGAUUUUAAAAAACAAUUCUGAUUAUUUUUAUCUCAUUCUAUUGUUAUUGUUAAUUUGUAUGUGCAUGCAAUUAAAUAAACACAUGCUGAACUUAUGAUUUUACCUUUGAAUUUGAAAUUCGAGAUCUUUGUAGAUAUAUAUCAGACACCCCUAUAAGUUGUAAACAUAAUUUCCUAUUCCAACAUGUCAUACUCCUUAAAGAAAUGGAAAACAAAAGUAGAAGACAUUAGACGAGGGAUUGCCGGGCUAGAUUAUUUCUUGAGCCAACCAAUAUUUGGAAUAUUAGCUAUAUUUGAGAAUUAAAGGUCAGAUUCUAGCCUGAUGUUUCCCAACAGUUACACGUCUCUAGCAUAAUGCUUGAUAUACAGCAGGAGUUUCCCAAAUAAGAUUCGACUGCUCUCCCCUACUAUAAAAUUUUCGCAUAAAAACUUGACAUGCUACAGCAGUUGCGUGGUUGCAGCAUGUAUUCGAAUGGUAAAUAAAAGGGAUUGGCAGAUCAAUAUGGUUAUAUAUUUAGUUGUUCAGAAUUCUCCCGCUCUCAUUUCUAUAGUAGCUGGUUAUUGGAAGCUAAAGCAUCAGUGGCUUCGGAAAUGAACUCUGCAAAAUUCUUUGAUUUUGAUAAGUACUCUAUGCUCUUGUCUAUAAUAAGUUGAGGUAAUAGUUAUUAGCAAGUUGAGGUGGUGCAUUUCUUUCAGUAACAGUAUUUUAUGGCAUUUUGAUCAGAACUGCAAAAUUUGGUUGCAUUUGGCAGUCCUUAUCGAGGACCUCAUAAAAAUAAUCUGCGGCUUGAGGCUAUUGCAUAUAUUUGUGCAUUUGAUCUUGCCGACAAGUUCCCUCCUGCACACCUUCUGAAUGCCUACACGAAAUAUUCCAAGAUGAGCAAAUACAAGAAUUUCAAAAAAUCAAAUGUGAAACUGGUAACCUUUGCACCUUUUCUGUCUCUGUUUGCUCAGAGUUUAAGCUGAGACCCAGCUGCUAUCCUAUUUUAUAUCUUUAAGACUUUAACUCCACAUGCUGGCAAAAUCAGACCAUAGACCAAGAAAUUGCUAUUAUGAGAAGGGUCCUUAGAUGCAUUGCUGAUCACAAGCUUGAAUCUCUAUAUACACCUUAGGAUCUUGAAAACUACAUUGUUCAUCUGGAAAGGCAGAAAGAACAGGGAAAUGAUACAGAACAAAGAGAAAAGAAGAAAGCAGAGAGGAAAAAAAAUAUGUCAGUCCCUUCAGCCGAGGCUAAACAACAGCAUGAGAGUGGAAUUAAGUGGCCCCCCAUGAAUAUGUCAGCAGAGGCCACACCAAGCCUUUCUGGUAGUGCUGGUUGCAAUCUUCACUUAAAACCAUCUCAUCUUGAACAACUAGUUAGCUCGAUUGCUGAUCAAGCUGUUGCUUGUAGUUUGUGGGACUCCAAUGCUUUCUCUGUAGACACAAACUCAUUUAAUUGGCAAGAUGGGUGUUCAAUUGCCAAUAACAGGAGCUUGGAACAGUUCACUUCACCUGGAGCAGUUGACAAGGCCGCCCCAGCUAAAAUCUCUUUUUUUUUUUUUUUUUUUUUCUUGUUAUUACUUUUUUAGUUCUUUUUAUCGACCAAGAUCAUAAUUCAAUGUUUAGUCCUCCCUUCCUCAGCAACUUUUUGUUAUUGUUGAAUGUAUUUGUUUGUAAUUAAAAUAAUUUGCAGCAUGAAUGGUACCGUGCGUGCUUAGAGUUUGGCAAGUAUAUCUUUGUUGGUUUUCUAUUCUUUUGACACUAAAAAUUCACUUGUUAAAUUUAUGUUCAUAAGUUGAUUGUCUAACCGUACGGAAAGUAGUAUUCAUCAUGCUCAAGUAAAGAUUGACCGAUGUCAAUUAGAAAAUUUUCAAUUGGAUGGCGUUGUUCCUUCGGAGGCAAGGAUUGACCUACAAUCUUAUAGCACCGGUAUGGAUGCGAAGGGUUUAAUACUUUUUCUAUGUGAGCAUGUGGAGGAUCACGAUUUAAUGCGCAGUGAAAUUUCUGACGCUCUUCAAUUGUCUCCCGAUCCUGCAAAACUUGUUUUGGAUGCAUUAUCGACCUUUUAUCAUUCAAAGUCAGGGCAUGCUCCUAAAAAGAAAAAGAACUCAGGGGAUGAAUUUAUUAGGGAAGCCUCAGGAGAAGUAAGAAAGAGUUGCAUUCUAUUGACGGAGCAGUUAAGGACAUUUCCGCUCCAGAUUGAACCCCAUGUAAAUGAAGAGGUUUUGAAGUUGGCAGAUGAUUAGAAAGAAAGAACGCAAAAGUACCAGAAUGGUGUGAUGGCAUAUGGUUUCUUGCAGCUGAUAGUCACCUACUUUUUGAUUUCUGCUUAUGAUGCGGAUGAGCUUCUUGGUGUUUUGGUAAUUGCAAGUGAGUAUAGACAGUCUCCUGAUUUGUGCCUGGCUCUUGGUUUGACAGAUAAGAUCUGCGGUUAGUCUACUUUCUAUCUGUCUCCCUAGUUUAUCGUUUCUCUUUUUGUUGGUUCGUUUAGCUGUUAGGUGAGGUUAUCCUUGUCUUCUCUGCAUAGCUAUAUUAAUGCUACUAUAGUUACAUCUUCUCUAGCUGUUAGCGACCAGGUAUAAUGUAAUGCAGGAAUUCCCCAAAAUAAUAUUUGAGUGAUUGCUUGAGGUACAACUUUUGCAUAUGGAACCCUAGAUGCUACAACAGUGUUUUGUUGCAUCAUGUACUCGAAUGGUACAUGAAAGGAAUCAAAGGGGGUCCUUAUGGGUAAAUUAUUUUCUUUUUUUUUUUCCGCAACAGUUCUUAUUUGUAGUAAGUUUCUGAAUUCUGCUAACUACUUAUCUUGUUGUUUCUUUGCCAAUCAUCUCGUUCUUUAAGUUUCUCAACCAAAAUAUGACAUUUAUGGAUUAUAAUGGUAACAUAUUAAGUUCAGGUGGUGUUUUCACAUGAGUUUUUUUUUUUUUUUGCCUGACGGCAUUCUGAUGACACCUGCAAAAUCUGCUUUCAAUUUGACAGUCUUGAUUGGAACCCUUGUAAAAAACAAUCUACGGCUUGAGGCUAUUGCAUACAUAUGUGCGUUUGAUCUUGUUGACAAGUUCCCCCUGCACACAUGCUGAAAGUUCACUUGGAAUAUUCCAAAGAGAGUUAGUAUCACAAGGCCAAAAAAUCGCAUUGGAAAUGGGUAACUUUUCCAUAGACCUUUUAUCGUUAUGCAUGCUCAAAAAUUUGCUGAAAAUUGAACUGUAAUCCUGAUUCUGUGUGUUAACUUGAAUGUGCUCGCAACAUCAAAUUAUAGAUUAUGAAAUAGCUAUCGUGAGGAAAGUCAGCGGAUGCGUUGCUGAUCACAAGCUUGAAUCACCAUACCCACCAAACGAUCCCAGAGACUACAUUUUACAACUGGAAAGGCAGAAGGCAGAUCGAAACAAUGCUGCUAGGAAGCAAAAGCAGGAAACAUGCCAUAAAAAAACUGGAAAAGUCCCUUCUGCCAAUUCAAAACCACGGCACGAGUGUGAACUAAGUUAACCUCCAUAAAUGUUUCAGUAGAAGCCAUCUCAAGCACUUCUUCUAGUGCUGGUUCCACAGUUAAACUGUCACCUUUGCAACUACUGGAAAGCUUCUUUGCAGAUCAAGCUGUGCCACACGUUUUAUGGGACUCCACCAAUUUCUCUGCUAACACAAACCUAUUAAGUGGUAAAAAGCAGGCAGAUAUGGCUACCAUUGCUGAUAACAGGAGCUCAGACUCUGAUUGAAAUGAGCAACUUAACGAAAUUUAGCCCUGUGAGUUUGCUAUUUGCCUUCUGUAGAAGCUUUUGCUUUGGUAUUUGAUUACUAAGAGAGAUCAUGGAACCUAGACAAUAAUUUUUUACUGCUUGUAAAAUGAGAUGUUAGCUCAGUGGCACUAGAGUCGGUUCCAGGACUGAGCGUUUCAAGUGGAACAUCAAAAGUAACUGCUUGUAAUAAUUAUAAUAUAAUCUAAGAAAGUAAUUUAAAUUUUGAAAGUUGAAACAGUUUAUUUGUAAUUUGAAAAUUUCCCUCAUUGUUGCUAACCAAAGACAUGGGCAGAUGCCAAGAUCAAGAAAAACUUGGCGCUAGCCCAGUCUUACAUCAAACGCGGCCCACUUGAAUAUGUCUACUCUUUAGCCUUUCUCCAGUCCUGGCUCCUGGUCCUGGUACUGGUUUACGUCCCCAGUCCUGCAUUAUAAUAAAAUUUACUGUUUGACUUAAAUAUUAUUAUUUUUCAUUAAAUCUAACUUUUUAGAUUUGUGAUUGGCAAAAAAUGAAAAAAAAAAUUGUUUAGAUUUGUAGAUUUUUUUUUCCUUAAAUGGAUAAAAACAUGAGGUGGAUUCAAUGUUGAUUUCGUGUGGGAGGCAAAGACCAAAAAGGAAAAAUACAAAUAAAGUUAUUUGUCAUUUUUUUCACGUACCACAUGGCACAUGCCACACCAACCAAAGCAAAAACGAAAUCAAAAACAAAAAGCUAAAGAGAAACGUCAAUAUUAAAUUCAAAUUUUAAUUUAAUUAAUUCAGAUAAUCAAUAUUUUUAAAAUGCUACAGAAUCAUUCUGUCUUUGGCCUUGCUUUUUCAUAAAUAUCUAUCUAUAUAUAUAUAUAUAUAUAUAUAUAUAUAUACAUUGUCUGUCUUUGGCCUUGUUUUUUCACGUGCAUAUAUAUAUAUAUAUAUAUAUUAAAAAAUCCAUUAUAUGUUAUCAUCAUUGGCUUGUCUUUUCUACGUUACGUCAAAAUAGAAUUCUUGCAAUCCAGUCAAAGACUUUUGACUUGUUACAUCAACGAACCCUCCUUUUGGCAACGUUCUUCUGUUUAAUACGCUGCAGAUAGACCAAACUUAUUUAUAUAUUCUGAUUUAUUUUAAUUUCUCCUUUUUUGGGUUUCUCAAAGUUUAGCUUAGCUGGCUUUUUUGAUCUUUUGCUGAAAUGGGUAGUACUGGGAUGCUGAACAAUUCAACUAUGAUAUGUGCUCCAUUAAUGGCUCAAUCAGUGGAGCAAAUGGUUAAAGACAUGCACCAGGCAAAGGCUGAAGGUGCACAAGUUGUUGAGAUUAGAUUGGAGCAUAUCAAGAAUUUCCAGCCUCACCAGGAUAUUCAAAUCAUACUCAAAAAUAAAGUUUUGCCAGUGAUCAUUGUAUAUAGGUAAUCAUCUCACCUAUGUUUUUUUCUACUAGUGGAUUUCUUAGUUUUAUGUUAUUUGAGCAGUCUUAUGAAUAUUAGGAGAUUAGAGUCGGAAAAAAUGCCUUUUUCCCUCAUUUUAGAAGUCAAGAUUGUAUUUGGUAGAUUCUUUUCCGUAUGUUGCUAUCCUUGUCCUUUUUUGUGGAAAAAAUAUUAUUAGGUCCCAUCAUUUGUUUUUAAAUGGAUGUAGCCAGUAAUUCAGAAUCACAUGCAACGUAUUCUUGUGCAAAAGCUGCAGCAAAUUGUUGUAAGGAUGGGCUUCUAUUUGGUGAUUUGAAGACAGGGGCAUCCUGAAUUCAACACAUCAAACAGCUGUAAUAAUAAAUGUUUUUUGUUCUACCAAGUUGAGACCAACCAUGAUACUGAACAUUUUCACUUUUGCUUGUGGAUGCAAACAUAUCCAUAGAAAUUAUUGGAAACAGAGAGGACAAAUAUCAGUGCCCAACUUUAUCGAGUUUUUAAUGAGUUUGUACUCUUUUCUACAUGAAAAUCUAUCGUACUGCUACUUGUGUUAAUAAUGUUUUCUUAAUUUUCACUUUCAGAAGCUUGUGAGUUGUGUUGUGAGGUAGGACAAUUAGAUUAAAAUAGGUGGCAGUGAUAGAAUAAUUUUGCCAUUCUUUCUGAGAUGACAGGAAUCUAUGUUGUAUGAACUUCUAAAACUGUAGUAAAAGAUAAAAAUAUAACUUGGGUUUGAAAGUUUGGGAAGGUUUGAAGUUUCAUUGUAUUUAAUUUCUAAGAUUCAGUCUUUUCUUCAGGCCUAAAUCCGAAGGUGGUCGGUAUGAAGGAGAUGAGCAGUCCCGGCUUGAAGCACUUCAUUUAGCUACAGAAAUGGGAGCUGAUUAUGUUGACUUUGAACUCAAGGUAGCUUUUAAAUUGUUGUACUUUUGUUUGCAAACUAUUAUACUCUUGAUUAUUGCAUUUUGGUGCAUUCAUUUCUAUUAUUGACUAUUUUACAAACUUAAAUAAUAUUUUCACCCAUUUUCGUUUCUCAUUUAUCUGAUAGCAGUUAAAAUAAAAAGUGCCAUAGGCAGUUUUCCCUUUGAAUGACCUAUUUGUUCCUUCGAAAUUCUCUUAGUUUUAUCUGACUCGCAGAUCAUGUGAUUGUCCAGGUUGCUUCUGAUCUUAUUUGGGAACAGAAAAUGAAGGAUGGUAGUGCUACUAAAUUUAUUGUGUCAUGUCACAUAAAUGGAAUGACCUCUUCAGACGAAGAGUUAAACAAUCUUGCUGCUAGCAUUCGAGCUACGGAGCAGAUAUCAUCAAGAUGGCUGCAAAUGUAACGGAUAUUACUGAGAUAGCAAGAAUGUUUCAUUUGCUUCUCAUUGCAAAGUAUGAAACUCUACUCUAUUGACUUUGCUUUGAAUAUGUGCAGAUUAGUUGUAUAAAUUGUUGCAGUGGAAUAACAUAUCAAAUAUUAUUUAUCUGCAGGUGCCAAUAAUAGCAUACUCUGCAGGGGAAAGAGGUCUCAUAAGCCAGCUAUUGUGCCCAAAAUUUGGUGGCUUUCUAGCCUAUGGAUCUAUUGAAGGAAAUUCAAUUCCUGGCAUGCCUUCUUUAUAUAGUGUUAUCCACACUUAUAAACUUGGCUAUCUAAAUUCAGAAACUAAAGUUUUUGGACUUGUUUCAAAACCUGUUGGCCACAGCAAAGGCCCUCUAUUGCAUAAUCCUACCCUCAGACACGAGAACUUCAAUGGAGUUUAUGUCCCAAUGUUUGUAGAUAAUCUCAAGAAGUUCUUUAGCAUCUAUUCCAGUCACGACUUUCCUGGUUUUAGGUACGUCAUCCUUCAAUUUUGUCUUUGGUAGAUUAUGUCAGGUUACAGUCUUUUCACUUAAGUAUAUAGCCACUGUAAGCUGCAUCUGUUCUUAUGAGCAACACUUGUAUUUUGACCUUUUAGGCAUUCAAACACAUUUUAGCCAGUAACAACUAAGACAAGAACUGGCCUUGAAAGAUUUAGUACCAAAAAGUAUGGAUGUAGGAAAAUUUUAUGUUACAACUAGUUCUUUAGUUGAUAUAGUAAUACUGAUUUUUCGAAACUGGAAGAUCAUGGAUAGUUGCAACAUACUGAAAUAUAAAUGCCUUCUUUCUUUGAUAAAUUGCUUUAUUUCUCACCCUUAUUUCAUCUCCUGCAAUGAUGUAGCCGGGUUUGUUUUCCACUAUUCUCGGAAAUGUAACUUUUCUUUUUCCUCAUUCCAAUGGAUUGCAGUGUUGGGUUCCGUACAAGGAAGCUGUAGUUGAGUUCUGUGAUGAAGUUCAUCCACUUGCUGAGGUUGACUAUAUAACAUUCUUACAAACAUGUUUGAAUCUGUUAAUUUCCCAUAUACUUUUUCAGGUCCCUUGUUUUUGUGCCCUAUUCCAUUUCUUUACGCACAGUUUACCAAGAGCACCGAUUUCUGGCUACACUAAGGUCUAAGACCAAGUUCUGAAUCUAAUUAUUUAGAAGUUCAACUUAUUGAGAGAAGCAUACCAAAGCAUAUAAGACUGGUUUGAUCAGUUCAUUGCCAGAGAAAAAGGAAAAAAAAUUGUAUUUAAGUUUAGGCAGAAUGUUUAUCUGAUCCUGGUUGUAAAAUUCAUAUUUUACUAUCUGAGCUAGUUGGCAUUGCAUCAUCAGACAUGGCACAUUUUGUGAUGGGAAACCAAAAGUAGCAGAAGAUUACACUCUAACAAUUGUAUGUUGACAUGUUCUAUAUGGAUAUAUUUACCUGGUUCAUAUAGAGGCGAUUCUAGAAUUUUCCCUAUAUCCAGAAUUCUUACCAGAAUUCUUAGUGCUUCAAUUCCUAUUAAUAGCAUCUGCUUGCAGUUUCCUAUAUUUAUAUAUUUGAGAAUGCAAUCGAUUUUUUUUUCAAUGCACUGUCAGUCUAUACGGUGCUGUUAAUACUAUUGUAAGGAGGCCUUGUGAUGGAAAGCUGAUAGGUUAUAAUACUGACUGCGAAGCUGCAAUAACUGCGAUCGAGGAUGCUCUAAAAGGUACCUCCCAUUGAUGAGAAAAAAAUGCUCAUCAUGUCCUCAUGGAAGUUUAAAGUAUUGAUCAAUGACUAGUCCAUUCUAGAUGCUGAUAUCCUGACACUUUUGUACUUGUAAACAGUAAACUACUAUAGAAAAGAGAUGCACUGGUAAUGAAGUAGCUUUAGGCAGUCCAAUAUCGGGGAAACUCUUUGCGCUAGUUGGUGCUGGAGGUGCAGGAAGAGCAUUGGCAUUUGGUGCUAAAAGCAGAGGAGCUCAAAUAGUCAUUUUUGACAUUGAUUUUGGUAUGUGAUCUACAAUUCUUAAAAGGCAAAUCCAUGGUUUUUCCCUUUAUGCUGAUAUGAUGUCAACUAUAACUUCUGCCUACUCUUUUUAGUACAUUGUUGUAGCAUUAGGAAUAAACAUUAUGAGUAGAGAAUCAAAAACGCUUUCUUACUAUUAAUCAUUGCUUGUGGAAAAAGGGAGAGCAAAGUCCCUUGCUUGUGCUGUCUCGGGUGAAGCUCGACCUUAUGAAGAAGUAGUUAACUUCCAGCCAGAGAAAGGAUCGAUCCUUGCAAAUGCAACACCCCUGGGAAUGCAUCCGAAUACUGAUCAGCGCAUUCCUGUUGCUGAGGUCUCCACCUUCCACCACUAAGUGGUAUUUCUUUUCUGAAGAAUAAAGUUCAAUUUUGUUUCAUUACUGAAGUUAUUUGCUUUCAUAUUCCAGGCAACCUUGGGAGAUUAUGAGCUGGUCUUUGAUGCUGUUUAUACACCUAAGAAAACAAGACUAUUAAAAGAUGCAGAGGCAGCAGGAGCAAUCAUUGUCAGUGGAGUUGAAAUGUUCCUCAGACAAGCUAUUGGUCAGUUCAAUCUCUUCACUGGUCGAGAAGGUAUCUCUUGAAUCCCUUCCUUCCCUCUAUCUGUUUCAUGACCUUAAACUACAUCAUAACCACUCUGGACACUUAUUUUCUAAUUAAAUCAAUUAGAAACUUUAGACCUUUUAAACCAUCCUUAGAUCUUUACUGCAAAUGUAAGUUGAUAGUUCAACCAUUUUGAUCUUUUGCUGUUUGAUUUAGUCACGAGACUAUUGAAAAAGAAUAAUAAAACUUCCAGUGAGUAGCGAAUCCAUCUUUGAUUUCAUUUAGUUGGACGAAUGGAUCAAGUUUAUGAUCUGAAAAAGCUAUUUUGAUUGAGUUGAUAAGAUUCGAAUACUUUGUUUAUAAGACUUAGGUUUGAGUCCCGAUGCUAGCAUUUCCCUUGAUAGAUGAUUUGUAAAUUAAUAUAAGUCGAUGCUGAAGCUUGUGAUCUUCUAUGGUCCUAAAAUGAGAAUGCUUCUUCUUAUCCUAAAUUUUUUAUAAAAUAUAUAUAUACAUUGAGUUAAAAUUGCUGGAGAUAUCCUAUUUUGAACCUCUUCCAAAAAUUCUGAUUUGUAAUUUUACCAUGUACCAUCCUCAUGAUCAAGUUCAAGUUUUGUGGUGAUAAUCUCAACUAUUCUUCCUCAAAACUACUGCCUCCUACAGCUCAGAAUUUUAGUUGCAACAUAUAUUUUCAAAAUUCUUAAUAUGGUUUAAAUGAGGUCAAUUUUUUUAUUCUGUUUUGCAGCACCUAAAGAGUUAAUGCGAGAGAUCAUUAUGGCGGAGUUCUGAUGUAUUACAUCACACAGAAUAUUGUAACAUUAAGGAGUAGAUAAAUCAAGUACCAUGGAAAAGGAUUCAUGUAGUCAAGCUGAAACCCUUAUUCUUGGACAAGGUUUUUUUUUUUUUUUAAUUUUUUUAUUUCAAGUUUUGGUCAUUAACUUACAUGGAAAAUGAAAAUAUUUCUCAUCUUUGUUUUCUUGAAGGGUUCAAAAAAAAAAUUUAAAGAAAUCAUAGUUUAAAGAUUAAGAAAAAGAUUAAAAGUAUAGAAAUUUGAAUCUUAAAUUUACUAAAAAAUAAUUGCAUAAAUCUAACUUAAAAUGGCUAUGAGUAUUAAAAUUUAAACUCAAACUUAUUAAUAUCAACCAACUGAACUCAAUUAUAAGUUCACAAUAUUUACAUAUUGAAAGAUUUUUUCUUAUUUUGGCCAUAAUAAUAUGAACAAUUAUACUUAUUAGCCCUUGUUGUUGGAAGAGGAUUUAAUUAAUAUCUUACUUACAAAAAUUUAAACUUAGUUGACCACCAAUUCUAACUAAUUACACAAUGCAAGAUGAUUUUCCAAGUACUUGGAUUUUGGUUACUUCGAAAAUUUUAGAUGAUGUGCCAAAACAUUAACUUCUCUUAGUAUUAUGUAGUUUUUGAAAAAAAAAGAUAAAACAUGGUAUUAUUAUCUAAUAUUGUGUCUACUACUUAGGAAUAAAAAGUAAUUGUCUUCAUAUUUGACUUAUUUGUUAGUUUGUCAUUAUGGCUACUUAAAAUUCAAUAUCAAUAAUUUAAAGUGUUUUUUAAUAAUAUGAUCUCAAAAUAUUUUCAAGAUUUACUAUUAGAUAUAUUAUCGAGCUUUAUUUAAUGCUAAUUUCUUCUCUCAAGAGAUUUUCUCUAAUACAAUAAGUUGUAUUCAGUGUUUUACUUUUAAAAUAUUUUUCAUAAAUAUCAAAUUCUGAUUUACAAAAAAAAAAAAAAAUUGAAUGGAUACAUUCAGAGUUUUACUCUUAAAGGUUUCUUUUUUAUAGGGUUCAAAUUCUAAUUAACAAAGAAAAAAAAAAACCUUUUCUCCUUACUAAUUAUAUUAAUGCUUGUGGAUUAAAGUGGUAGAUUAUGCUAACAAUAAAAAUUAGAAGUUAUUUCAAUUUUUAAUUUGCUGUUUAAUUUAAUUAGAAUUUCAAUACAAACAAUAAUAUAAAAGAGAAUUAAAGAUAAGAGUUAAAUUUUGGAUCUUAUCUCUCAAUUAAGUUAUUAAUUAAUUUAUUUGAUCUAUUAGCUUUACCUUGAUGAUUUUGUAAAAAUUUUCUAAUAUAAUCAUCAAAUAAUGUUUAUUUUAAGUUAAUCAACAAUGGUUUUACUUUUCCCCAUUUCAUUGCAAAUAGAAGAAAUUAACUUAAAUUCUCAUAGCUACUUACCAGUGUUUAAACGAAUAUAAGGCACUUCUUAUAAGAUUUGAAGCCAAGACUCUUUCACGCAAAGAACUAAAAAAUCCAACUUUAAAAUUGAUACCUAUUGUAGAUAAAAACCAUUGUACUUGAACAACGAUCCUCUGUUUCUUAUACCUGGAAACUCUUGGCUUAUAGUGUAUUCAGAGGACCAAGAUACUUGCUAUAGGUUGUUCUGUUUAUGUCAAUGCUGAUAGAAAAUGUCCUAAAUGAAAAUCAGAAAUAACUGCUCCAUCCCAAUGAGUUGUCAGUCAUUGGGCUUUCUGCAAGUGUUUUGACUUGUAUAUGUUUUCAAUUAAUGAAAUAAAACUAGUAAGCCUUUGCUAAAGUUUGAAAAGGACCAGCUUCUUCACUUGACAUGAGGCAAAUACUUUGUAAACCUUCAAUGGCGAUUGGAUUCUUUCCCAUUCUUCCAUUCAAUCAGUAGGAUUAAUUGGCAUUAGCCCUCAUCGUAUGAGAAAACUAGGAGGGGUAUUCGUUCUGCCCAAUUUUCCUGUACCAUCUGCCUCCUUGACAUUGAAUGCUCUAUUUACAAUUCACAUUGAUGAUAAAAAUUGUCAAUCACAGAUCUGGGUGGAAAAAUCAAUUGAUAAUUAAUAUAUAAGCACAAAAAUUGCCCAAGGCCAAAGAAAACGACUAACCAUGUUCACCAUGAGCCAUCAAAUCAUGCCUCUGAACAGUGCCACUAAGGUAGCAUGGAACUCAGCACAAGGGUCGAGUAGAAUGGAACAGGUUAUAUCAGGAUGGAUAAAUUGCCCAUUCACAAAAUGUUGUAGGCACAGCACACCUUGGGGCACCCAACGGACUCAAGAAUUUGCCAUUGGUUCAAUGCAGCAGCAGAAAAUCACCUGUAAACAAACACAAACCAUCAGCCGGCCCAAACAAAAACCAUCAAUUUGAGCCUCCAGAAUAAAUAUGAAUUGAGCUUUCUUUCAAGUUUCAACGUGAAAUAGUUUGUACCUUCCCAAAAAGGGGGAGUCGCAAAUCCUUGAAAUUUCAAAAUAAGUAUGUGAUCCUGAACUUCAUAAUAUUUCUCCUUAUCCUCUGACUUCAGAACUGUUGUCAUCCAUAACUUCUCAACACCCAGAUCAUUAAAAAUAGAAAAGUAGUACAUAUGUUAUUUCUUCCAAGGUUGUUCAAAUAAAUGGCAAGCUAUAAUUAGUCACCAUAGAAACAUAAAAGACUAAAAGAAAGAAGCUGCAACCAUUUACAGGUUGAUCAAAUGCAGCAUGAUUAAACUUGUCUUUAGAGACAGAAUAGCUUGGCAGCACUGCCCUUUAGCAAUAUGAUAAUUGACAAAAAAAAGAAACGAAAAAAAAGAGUACCAUUAUUUCAUUUUAAAGAACCCUUGUAUUAUAAUAAAGAAAUCUUAUAACCAUUUGAUUUCAAACGAUGAAGUAUCAAUAAUGAUGUCUCAAAAUACAUACAUUGUUUACUUCACUCUGCCAUGGCACAUAAAUGCUGGCCGUGAAGGAAAUAGGAAUUAGAACCCUUGCACUUCUGCACUUGAGAUGAAGAAAACACCUUCAAAUGAAGAACUUAACUUAUUCAAGGAAAGAAAAAUCAUUUGCAUUAGAUGAGUACUACAUAAGCUAUACUGUCUCAAGAUGCAUGGAAAGACUUUUUGGCUUACUCUGUUUCUUGGCAGUUGAAGGAUUGAGCUGAUCUUCUUCAGAAUUCUCGACUAUGUUGACUGGAUUAUGAAAUCAUAAUGAACAAAUAUUAGUGAAGGUGAAAAGAAAAUUACUGGAAAAUUACUUUUGUUACUCUUUGAAGAAUCAGUGUCAUAAUGAAUGAUAACAAAGCCAUUCUGAUUUCGAAUGAAGAAACAAGAGUCAUAUGUCUCAAAUACACAUUUUCAACAAUUUCCUACCUUGCCACGCUUGCCAUUUGAAGAUCAUCACCAUAAUCCCUCUUCUUAUUUUAUUUUAUUAUAAAUUUAAACAUUCUCUAACCAUAAAGAAUAUUAUUACUGAAAAGCAGAAGUAUUUUAAAAAGAAAAUCCAAUGAUCUAUUUCAGUUGCUCUAGAAUAUCCUAAAAAGAGUAAAUUAAAUAGAAAUCCUGAUGAAAAUAAAAAGGAAAAACUGUUUAAAAAUUACAUAAUAUUAUAAUGAUAAGAGAAAUAUAAACUAGGAAGGAGGCAUCAAACUCCUACUUAAUUGAUGAGGAAAAGUAAAGCAUUUGAGUUGAAAGAAACAAAAGCUAUAUUAUUAUGAAUGGUAUCUGAAGAUUUAUAGAAUGAAAUUUGGCUUACUUGUGUGUUAGAAGUUGAAGGAUUCCCUUGAUCUUCUAUAGAAUACUGCAUUUCCUCCGCGGGAUUCUACAUAUAUAUAAUAAUCACCAACAACAAUUAAUAUUAAUUGGUCAUGAGGGGGAAAAAAUGAAUUAAUUUUGAUUUACAAUGGAGUCGUGAUCAACGCCCCCAACCACAAAUUUUCUUUGUCAAUGAUAAUCAAAGAAAUUUGAAAAAACAUACCCUUUCCGUGAACAGUUUUUGUAUGGUGCUAUUAAGGCUUCCUUCCCAAAUCCAAUUCCCUUCAUCUGCCCAGUCAUAUGGUCGUACUUUGUGCAACAUCGGAGCGUUUAACCCUUCCCUGGAGAACAUCUUCAUCUUUGGGCAUUCGUGUACAAUUACUGUUGCUAAGGAUGGGAACCCAAAGGUAUGAUUCCCCGAUGAGCAGAAGCUUUCUAGAUUUGACAGCCCACUCAGUUCCAAAAGGUUGAGUUUGGGGAAAAUGAUUUCAUCCUUCACUUCAUCACGAUCCCCAUCGCUACCUUCUAUUAUUUCUUCUAUCUUUUCACAAUCCCUUAUCCUCAUUUCUCUGAGCUGCACUAGGCUUUUGGCUGUUGAAUGUGUAACUAAUUUUAUGAUCCCAUCACAAAAUUGAACUUCAAGAGUCAUCAGAUUCUGGAAACAUACUGAGGAUGGAACUAAAUUACUUUUUAAUUUGGGACACCAUUCCACAUGUAAAAUCCUUAGAUUUUGGAAUCCUUCCUCACCACCAACUCCUUCACUUUGGAAUAACGACUCUUCAAAGUAACAAUCUUUUAUUUGAAGGCUUUCGAGAUUGGGUAAGGAUAGUAAUUGGAACAGGUAAGAUGGGAAUAUGGCUAAUUGUUGAGGAAACCGUACAAGUCCGAGAACUUUUAGUUUGCAAAAGUAGUCCGAUGCAAGUCGUAGGCCAUGCAAUCUCUCUUUCAUCCCAUCAUCCCAUCCGAGGUGAAGUUGUUGUAGAUUUGGGAAUGCCAACUGCACAAUUCAUGCAAGUGUUAACAGGACGGAGGAUGAGUUGUUGAAAGGGAUCAAAAUGAACGAUUGUAAUAUGGUGGAAUAAAAAGAGAAAUUUAAAAAAGUAUAUCUUUAAUAUAAGUAGUGAUCUUUUUAUUUUUAUUAUUGAAUCAUGUAUACUUACAUAGUACCAGCUGAUUUGAGUUUGUUAUUAUUAUUAACGUAUUUUUUUUGUUAAAAAAAAAAAUAGGUACAAUCGUUUUCUAACUUUUGAUACACAUUAACUUUUACAAAAAUUUAGAAUUCAAAGAAUUUUUUAAUGCAUAUAAUUUUACUGAAAAACUAGUAAAGUAUACAUUUGAAAAUAAAAAACAAAAUCUGAUUAUUGAAGUUUAAAGAUACCUCUCUAGUUAAAUUAUAGAUCAAUCCAAAGUUAUACUAUAAAAUUAUAUAUUCUAUCUUGAUAAACAAAUUAUUGUAUUUUAUUCUUACAAAUAUAUUAAUAGUUUACAUACUUUUCUUUUUAAUAUUUAUUAUGUUGCCAUUAAAUGCUUUUUUAUUUUAUUUUUUUUCAAAACACGUCAAUCUAUUUUUUAAAAUUUUGAUCCAAAGAUUAUUUAAGAUUUAGGAUUGAGGGGUGUUAAAUACACCCUUAUUUUUCAUUUUAUACCCUAUUUUUUAAAAUGUUCUUAAGUAAAAUUAUUUAAUUAUAUUUUUUUUAUAAAUUUUUGAAAAUAAAUGUUUGAAAAAUUGUAUAACUUGUUGGAUAUAAAUAUCAGAAAACUUAUGAAAAAGAGUAAUUAAGUAAUUUUAUUUUAAAAAAGAUUUGAAAAAAAAAUAGCAUAAGAAGAGUAAAAAAAAAAGAUGCAUUUAAUAUCACUUUUUAGGGUUUAGGAGCUAAAAAUCUCAUUAGCAAUUAGCAAUAUAAGUAGUUUACCCUCUAUUAGAUUAUUGAAAUCAAAAAUAAAUUCUUAAACUCCAAUGAUGUAAUUAAUAAUUAGAUGCUAUUUCUAUUAAACAUAUAGUUUUACCUAUCAAUUUGUAAAUGAGUUUAAUUAUUUGAAACAAAUUUUAAGUUUAUAUUGGAGCGAUGGAGGGAGACAUUAAAAAAAUACCUUUUCACUGAAUAGGUAUUUUGAGAUAUCCGAGUGGAGGUUUUCCGUUGAGAUGCUGCUCUCUCCUGCUUCAUUUUCAAUAGUUGUUUCCACACUUGUAGAAUCAAAAUGGACUGUAUUCAAAAUAGGACAUCCUUCUAUAUACAGAUAUGUUAGAGAAGGGAAUUCAAUCGGAUUUCCAAAGCCAAAUCUUUUGAGCUUAAGAAGAUCCACCAGCGUCAAACAGUCUAAUUUAGGAAACACCAUUUUCUUCAUCCUUUCUUCUUUUUCUACUAAUCCUUCCGUCACUAUUAUUAUCUCUUCAAGUUCAUUACAUCCUCCAACAUUAAGUGUUUUUAGUUGCACAAAGCUUUCAACCAUAGAGGAAGUAAAUAUAUUCUUCAAAUUAUUGCAUUCGCACACUUCCAAAUUUGUUAAAUUUUGAACACCAAAAGAAGUUACUGAACGUUGCUCAUGCCAUAGCCUUUUAACUUCCAUGAAGCCUAUAGACAACCGCUCUAAGCCUGGGAACACAGCCUGCAAAUAAAAGUAAAGUUUGACGAUCAACAAUUCCUUAUUAUUCAAAUAUUAAAAAGAAUUAAUAAUGAUUUUCAGCAUUGAUAUAACAUAAAGAAAUAAUAUAUUAUUGCCAUUGACUAUAUAUUUCUACAACUCCGUCAUCUUUAAUUAUACUAGCAACAUACCCACACUUUCUUGUAGAUCUAAAUUUUUUUUUAUUUAUAGUUAAAUAAAUUUAAUAAAUCAAUGAAUAUAAUUUUUUAUAAUUUCUUAAUAAAAACAAUGAUUUAUAAUAAUUUAUUAAUUAAUUUGGGGAUAAUAUCUUUAUUUUAUUUAUAGAAUUUGUUAACAAAUCAAAUACAAAUUCAUAUUUUCAAAUAUAGUUAAAAAUAUUAAAAUACAUCAUUUAAAAACUUAAAAAAGGAAAAGUGCCAAGCAAAAAGGAAAAAAAAAGGAAAAAGAAAAAUGACCCAAAUGAAUUUGCCAAGUCGACACUUCCACUUAAAGAUGACAAUGGACGAGUAAGACCAUGUUAUGCUUAUCCUAACUCCAACUUAAUCUCAGAUUAUUAUUUUUUAUAUCCAAUCUAACCCAACAUAUAAAUAUAGUAUUUUAUUAAAUAAUAAAUUUAUUAAUAUAAUAAUAUAUAAAUUAAAUUAAAUAAAUAAUAAAAUAUAUAUUCUAAUGUAUACCAUGAGACGAGACAAAGAAAAACACUUUAAAUUUAUCUCUAACCUGACUUCGAAGUUCAAAAAAGAAAAACCAUCACUAUUGAAUUGGUUAAUCAAAACCUAUUAAAUACGAAUUAUUUUAACAUCUAUUGAUCCAAUUUCUUACAAAAUUUAUUUUAUUUAAAAAAAUGAAAAAAAAAGGGAAUGGAAGGGUAAAAAAAAAAAUUCUAAAUAGGAUUGCUACCUAAACAAUUCUAUUGUUAAUUUAUCUUCCAAAGCAUAGAUAAAAAAAUGUUAAAAUAGACAAUUAAAAACAAAAAAAAAAGUUAAAACUAAAAAAAUGGCCCAAGCAAAAAAAAUAGUCAAAUUAAUGAAAAUGCAUGGACACUAUCAUUUAAUGAUAGAAAAGAGGUCGAGUCAGGGUGGGUUUAUACACACUUUGACUCUUAACUCGAAUUUUUAAUAAUUCAAUUCCACUUUGAUUUCAAUUAGACAUUGAGUUAUUAUUAAUUGAUAUCUAGUCCCAACCUAUCACAUAUAUACAUAAUUUGCAUCCAAUCCAAAUUAAAAAAUAAUAAUUCAAUAAUUUUAACUUAGUAUAAUAUUCAUAAACAUUUUAUUUUUUAAUAUAAAUUAUAUAUUAAUUAUGUAUAAAUAUAAUAAUAAAAUAAUUCGACUCUACUUCAAUUUCGACUAGACAUUAUCAUUAAUUGAUAUAUGAUCUUAACCUAUCACAUAUAUGCAUAACUCGCAUCCAUUCCAAAUUAAUCAAAAUUAAUUCAAUAAUUUUAACUCAGUAUACUGUUCAUAAAUUAUAUCUUAAUUAUGUAUAAAUAUAAUAGCUUAUUAAAAUAAAAUAUUAACUAAUAAUUUUAUUAAUAUAAAUAAAUUAAUAAAUAUAAAAUUAAUUAAAUAAUAAAAAUAUAUAGUUUUAAUAUAUACCGAAGAUGAGAUGGAACAUCCCAAACCUGUUUCCUACCCUCAUCCAAUUUAGAAAAAAUUCCAACCUAAUUUCAGUUUUAAAAUAUAAUGUACCUAUUGGAUUGAGAGAAAUCAAAAUCCAUUGAAUUUGUUUUGUCAUCUCUACAUCAAUUGUAUUUUUUUUGUAUAAAAUUUUUUUAUUAAAAAAUUUUUUUGAAAAAGGUUAUUGGCAAAAAAAGAAAAAAAGCCAAAUAAAAGUGUUGUAAAUUUAUUAAAUUAAGAUAUUAAAUAAUAAUUUUAUUAAUAUAAUAAAUAUAUAAAUAUAACAUUAAAUUAAUAAUAAAAAUAUAAUUUUAUAUAUAUCUUAGACAAGAUAAAACAUUUUAAAAUAACCCUUGAACAAAUCUCGAUUUAAAAAAAAAUUCUCAAUUUGCUCUCAAAAUUUUUAAAACAACAUAUCUAUAUUGAAUCGAAGUGAAUUGAAAUCCAUUAGAUACAAAUUGUUUCGUAAUUUUUACAUCUAUUAUUUUUCUUAUAAAAUUUAUCUAAUAAAAUUAAAACCAAAUAAAAAAUAAAAAAGUACAUUUUAAAGAAAUGUUAGGGUGGCACAUAGACCCCCAUCUUCCUCCAAAAUCUAAAAUAUUUAUAAAAUGGAUUGUAGAAAGCCUUUUGGUUGAAAUAAUUAACUUCGUACAAUGAUUAUAAUCUUCCAUGAAAUAAUUAGAAAAAAGUCAAGUAUUGGCUUGAAGUUGCAAUAAAAAGUCAGUCAUUAAAUUUUAUAUAUUAGUUAUUAACUCCUAACAAAAAAAAAGUGCAAUUUUAGAUCUAUAAUAAUAUAUAAUAUCAAUAAUUUCAUUAUAUCACUCAAGUCAUGACUUGUAAAAGUAAGUUUUAAAGUUUUAUUAUUAGAGGUGUUCAUCGAUUAAACCUAUCAAGUUCUGUUUUUAAAGCUAAUAAGAGGCCGACCACUCACUCAUUUAUUUUAUUGACAAAAAACUCACUCAUUUAACUAAUAUUUUAUUAUUAAAAUAAUAAAAUUUUCUAUUAUUAUUAAUAUUUUAAACAUAUAAAAAUAAAAUUUAACAAAAAUAUAAUAUUUAUUAAUAAAAUAAUUUAAUCAGCCCUAAUCAAGCUGAAGCUUAAAAAAUCAUAUGCAGCCUGACCCUUUACAUCUUUAGUUGCGACGAUCCCCUCUAUAAUUCAAAUAAUUAAGACUUUCAAUUUUAAAGUUUUAAGUCUACAAUGGUAGAAUAUCUCUUUGGAUGACUUAAAAAUGUUAUAAUGUUUGUGAGAAAAAAAUCUAUAUAUGAAAAGGAGAAUUAUAAGACUCGAAGAAAAUAACAUAAAAGAGAUACAUUCUAGUCUUGCAAUAUAUUAACAUAUAUACUUCAUCACUUUGUUUUCAGGUUAAGUUAAUAGGAAAAUUACAAUCUAAAACACUACUGAUAAUAAAUUUAAAUUUCACACCAACGAAUUUAGAUUAUUGCUAAAUAACUCAAUAGGAUAUAUUUUUAAAAAAUUAAUAUAAUAAAAAACAUAUAAUAAUAUUUUAACUACACUUACAAAAUUUAAAAACUCUACCAACAAUGUAUGAAAUAAAAAUUUUAUGUUCAAAAAAUGGAGAAAAGCAUUAAGAAAAUACCUUUUCAUCGAAUAGAUAUUUUGGUACAUCAAUGCAAGGUUUCACCAUUGAGAUGCUACUCUUUCCUGCUUCAUUUCCAACAAUUGUACCCACACUUGUAGAAUCAGAAUGAAAUGUGUUUAAAACUGGACAUCCAAGAAUCCAUAGUUCCUUUAAAGAGAGGAAUUCAAUUGGAUUUCCACAACAAAAUCUUUUGAGAUUAGGAAGAUUCAAGAGCUGCAAAUCGUCUAGUUUAGGAAAUACCAUUUUCCUCAUCCUUUCUUCUUCUGGUAAUCCUUCUGUCACUGUUAUUACCUCUUCAAUUUCAUUACAAUCGCAACAAAAAGGGAUUUCAGUUGCACGAAGGCUUUUCAACCAUAGAAGAAGUAAAUAGAUUCUUCAAAUUUAUGAACAGCCGCUUGAACAGUCAACACAGUUAAAUUUCCAACACUAAAAGAUGUUACCCGGAAGCUGAUCAUAGCCAUAAUUUUCAAUUUCAACUGUGAUACAAGAUAACCACAACUUCUUUUAAGCAUGGAAAUGACCUGCAAAUAAAAAAAUAUUGAUAAUCAACAAUUUCUUAUUAUUCAAACUUAAAAAAAAUUAAUAACGAUUUCCAAUAUUGAAUAUGGAGACAAAGAAAUAAUAUAUAAUUCCAUUGGACAAUAAUUUUCAAAGUAAUAUUAAACAAAAAUUAAAUAUUUACUUGGAUUUGCAACUAUAUAAAGUCAAUGAAGUCAUUAAAUGUUGAGUAUGAGUUAUUGACUCCUAACCCAAAAAAUAGAGUGCAAUUGACCAUCUAUAUAUAUAAUAUCAAUUCUUAAAUUCAUUAUAUCACGCCCAUGUCAUGAAAGUGAAUUGGAGUUUUUCAGUUUCAAAGGCGUAUUUGGAUUGGCCUAUCAAGUCUCCCUUCCAAGGCUGACUCAACUGACUCAUUUAAUUAUUAUUUUAUUAAAAUAACAAAAUUUUAUUAUUAAUAUUUUAAUAUUGCAAACAUAUUCAAAAUUAAAAUGUAACAAAAAUAUAAUAUUUAUUAAUAAAAUAAUUUAAUCCUUGUGGAUAAGCUUUGAGUUUAAAAGACUUAUUUUAUGUUUUAUUGAAUACUUAUUUUAAAUAUAUUAAUAAAAUAUUUUAUGAUAUAUUUUAUUUUCAUUAAUUUUGAUUCAAAAAUCACUAAAAUUGAAAGUACAGCAAUAAAAUUCAAUAAAACCAAAGUAUAAUGACAAAAUUGAACACUCACCUACAAUAAUAAAUUUGCUCUUUAUCCUAAUUAUAUCAUUCACAUAUUAAAUAGAAAAUCUAGUUUAAGAAAAAGGAACAAAAACGAGAUCAAAAGGAAAUAUGUUGGAAGUGAGAAUUUAACGAAAAGAAGAAAUAUAUUGACAUAAAUACCUUUCGGUCAAAAAGCGAUGUGGCAGUUGAACUUCCAUCAAUUGAUUGAACUCUUCCUUGUUGAGACGAGGAAAGCCUUUUUUCUGAGUUAAACAAGCCAAUGAAACUUGGUAGAUUUCCUAACCUUAAAUAGCGUAAUUGGCUGAAUUCUAAAAUGUCAUCAUCACCAAUCUCUUCCUCCCUCUUUUCUACAAUUAACUCUGUGAAAUUCGAGCAAAGAGAUACACGAAUUUCUUGAAGGUGGCCGAGCUUUCUGGCUAAGGCGAAUGAGAACAAAUUCUUCAACAUAUUACAAUCUCUUACUCCUAUCUUUCUUAGUUGACCGAAACAUUCAGCUUGGAGUUGACCAUAAUAUAUGGCCUCCAAAUUGUUCAGUUCACGAAGAAACAAUGUCUCCAAAAGAGGAAAUGCUUUACAUGAAGUCAACUCCAUGGAGUUAAUGAGAUAUUUAACCUCUGAAUCAUUGCGGACAUCAAGAUGUUUUAAAUGUGGGAAACCUUGGGUAUCUGGAUCAUAAAGCAUGUCUAUGACAUCUUUUGCUGCAUCCAGAUGGAGAGUUUCGGUUUUUCUCAACAACGUUUUAACCCCACUAUCGUCCAAAUGAAUACUCUUAUUCAACUUGAGUUUCAACUCUCUCGAGGUUUUUGGCUUAUAAUUCCGCCACCACUUCUCUCCAAUGGAAAUUUUGUAUCUUUCAAACUUUUCAGAAAACAAUUUCUUUGGCACAGCUUGCAGAUCAGGAAUAUGUACUUCCAAAGUUGUCAAACGAGACAAAUGUUGCAACUCAACAAGGCUAGCAUUGGUUCUUGGCUUCUCAUGUCCCUCAACCUCCCAUCUAUCAAAGCUAUUAUAAAGGUAUAAUUCUUCUAAUCUGGAUAAACGAGACAAGACAUUUGAUGAUAUUACUUUAAGACUGGAACAAUGACUCAAAUCUAGCAAUUUUAGCUUGAUCAAUUGUCCUAUUUGGGGUGGUAGCACUGCAAUUUUAGAUUUUCGGAAGCUAAGGAUUUCUAAAUUCUUUAACUCUUCAAUGAUGACUAUACUUUUAAAUGCAGUUAGAAAAAACAUAAAGUACGAAGAUUUUUUAGGAACAAACAUGACGAAGGCAAGGAUGGAAAAUAAAGUUGGCAAAUCUAAGGACCCUGAGUUUUUGCAUUCCCCUAAAGAAGUUUGUCUGAAAUUUUCAAAGAGGAAUCCUCACUACCCAAAGAGCAAAGGUAAGAUUUGGACAUUCCAACCGAUCCAUGAUCAGAAGGCUCACAACCUUAGCAUACUGCAAGCUGAUCAGUUCGCAAUUUCUUCAUUUUUUCCUCAUUUGACAACUCUUUGAAUACAUCAUCAUCAUCCUUCCUAGAGCAAGCCAUGGUGGUCUCUCGAAGCGAUCGAUAAGGCAACAUCACAAACAACGUCAUGCAUACAAAAGCGCUCAAAGGUAGAACCAUCAGUAACAAAGAAGAGCUUUUCAGGUUGUUAACCAAUGCGGAUACUUUAUAUCGUGCUUCUUUGAUUGUGUUAACUCCAUGAAAUAAACCCAAACCCAUGCCAUAUCUCAACAAGCUCGAUGGCAGCAUCAUGGCCCAUUAUGCUACAGAGUAGGAAAGUAGGUCGAUGUUCCUCAUCUUCUAAAAACUUGUAACUCAACUCUAUAGCUGAAUAUGCACCUGCUGGUAUCCCUUGAAGUUUCUUUUAGAGGGAUUUCUUAGUUCAUUCAAAGCAUACUUCCAAUCAGACAAAUUCUUCUUAUUUUUCAUAGCUUCCCCAACUGUUACAAUGGCAAUCGGCAAUCCAGCACAUUCAUUGGCCACUUCAAUUGCCGUAGUUUCCAAGUCAGGGCUUAGAACAAUAUCACCUGCCUUCUUCUUAAACAGGUUCCAUGCUUCUUCUUCUUUCAAUAUUUCAAUUGGAAUGUUUU
rnacentral:lncRNA from 1 species